rnacentral:lncRNA from 1 species
GAUGAGCUUGGCCUCAGCCUAGGCUGCCAUGACAAAGCAGCAAACCACGAUCGUGAUCAUCAUCACCAAAACCAGAAGAAACCACACUUGAAAUUUGACCAACUACUGCCGUCUGAUCUCACGCUAGGACCAUCAGAUGAGGCAGGACCUAGAGGGUCUAAUUCUUCUUCUCCCAGCGGAGCCAUUUCAUCGUUUUCUAACUCGUCUAGUUUCAAGAGGGUAGACAGAGAUAUACCGGGUUCCGGUGAAGAGGUAGAGAGAGUAAGCGAGGAGCUAUAUGAAGAUCAGGCAGGGAGUCCCAGAAAGAAACUCAGACUUACAAAAGAACAAUCUGCCACAUUAGAAGACACCUUCAAACAACACACCACUCUCAAUCCUGUACGUAAUAUCUUUAUCCAUAUUAAUUCAUUCAUUUACUUAUUAAUCAUAUAUAUAAUCGUGUUAAUCUAUGUAAUGAUAUCCCUGGUUAUAUUACAAUGAUCAGAAACAAAAACUAGAGCUGGCCAGAAAUCUAAGUUUACGGCCGCGACAGGUAGAAGUUUGGUUCCAGAACAGAAGGGCGAGGUGUGUAGUUUCAUUCCAUGAUACAUAAUAUUCCAUGCAUGAACAACUUAUUUAUCUGAUUAAUAAAUCAUAUCGAUCAAUGGCUUUUGUGUAGGACUAAGUUGAAGCAAACUGAAGCGGAUUGCGAGCUGUUAAAGAGAUGUUGCGAGACUCUCAAAGAAGAGAACAGGAGGCUACACAAGGAGCUGCAAGAGCUCCAGUUAAUGAAACAGACACCAACGGCGCCAUUUUACAUGCAGUUUCCGACGGCUACCCUCACCGUGUGCCCUUCCUGCAGUGAAAGAAUUGUCAACGGUUCAAGCGCUGUUGCUGGUGAUGAUCAUCACCUUGGAGUAUCCAAGCCUCAUCACCUUCUCAACCCCUUUACUCAUCCAUCUACAGCUUGCUAGUUACUAGAGGCAACCUAUACAUCGAUGAUCGAUCAUAUAUUUCAAAUUAAUUGUAGAGAUAUGAAUUGCUACUGUGCGUAUAUUGAAAUUAUUAGUCUCUUUUGUCUUUAUAUUUACGUAUCUGUAAAUAUUACGUUUCGAUCAAUAAUCAAUCAAGUCACAAAUUUACAUAGAUUAUUGCUUUAUCUAAUUAAUUAUUACUACAUAUUCAAUAACAACACAAAAUGGUAAAUCCAAAACUGCAGUAUGAAGGUGCGCAUUGUUCUCGUGGUAUUUAUGCAGUAGUUGAUAUAUAUUUUGGAUCAUGUAUUUCUUUGAAGUGUGAAUGAAAUGAAAUUAAUAGAGAUCGAGCAACUUUCAGCAUAAAUAAAAACCAAUGACAAGUUAAGGUGUUUUCGUGCUUAAUUACAAGGCUUGGCUUAACUUAAUCUGUACGUUUUGCUUGAUUCCACAUGAUUCGUAUUAAGAUCAAAAUAGUGAAAAUACAAUACAGCAAAUGGUUGUUAUAAGCAAAUGUGCGAUAUGAAAAGGAAAAAGAAGAUUCAAUAUUGGUUGUCAUCAUUUCCAGCCUAGCUACCUUGAAACAAAUCAAGAUGUCGACAUGAAUCCUUUAACAAUUCAAAAAAGAAAAAAAGAAAAAAGAAAAAGGAUGGGAAUUUUUUAUAAAAUGAAAAAAAUUCAAUUAAAAAGAAAAAGAAAAAGAAAAGGUAGAUGUAGAUGCAUAAAUUGGUUGAAAUUUACGCGUUUAUCAUCUAUGUGAGAGUUCAAAGUCCUCCACUGGAUGUUUGGGUCCAAAGUCAUCCUCUUGACGUAUGAAACCUGCUUGAUUGUAUCAUGUACACUCUCUUAUAGGUAAGAAAGAAAAAUGAAAAAAGGGUGAGUAAAGCUAAUCGUUUCUAUAAAGAAAUGAAGAAGGGAAAAAGAAAAGGGUACUUUCCAAGUAUUACAAACCGACUAUUCGUUGUAUUUUUCGAAAUAUGACAAUGAUAUAUUUGGAAGUACUAUAAUGUUGAUGUAUAUUUUACGUGAAAGACAAAAGAAAUGACAAAAGAAGCUUAGGACAUGAGUAAGAAAGCCUUAGCUACAGAUAAUAUAUAAAUUAUUGUGAACAAUGACAAGGCAAUCAAAGGUUAAUUAAGUGACAUUAUAAUGUUAAUCACAUGUGUCAUCGAUGGAUCGAGUCCUAAUUAAUCAUAUAUGUUCUUCUGUUUCCAACUUCAUGAUUAGAAAGACACGAACCAGUCCACUGUUUUUUCUAGCUUCCCGAUUUUGCUGGAGAUCGAACAAGUCGAGGCUUUCGAUCGAGUCGAUGACGACGGAGAUUAACUAAUUAAUUAGGUAGCCCUCGCACCAAUUAGGGUUUAGAGCAUGAUCGAUCAAAUAAUAUCCAACUCAAUCUAGGUGAUGAUUAAAUUAUAUGUAUCUGCAACACUUUUGGGACAAAAUGAGAAAUUGGAAUAUACCACUAAGUUUAGGGUUAGAUAUUAUCACAUAUUAUCAUUAUCACACAUGUAUAAUUGUAAACAACGAUGGAGAUGUGGUCCGGGAAGGGAUGUGGGGUGGAUAUGAUUGCUGGUUCAAUUCAGCUAGUGCUGGGUUGUUCCGUGUUAGGUUGGAUGAAGGAGACAAAAUCUAAUUCGUAAUCUGGUGAAAAAGAUUUUCUUCUUUUUCUGUCUGUCUGUCUAUCUCUGCAAGUCUACCAGGUAUAUGACUAUCCAUAAUAUAUAUCCUAUAGUUUUUUAAUUAAUAAGAAGACCGGAGGUAUAUAUUGUUCAAAAAAGAAAAUAUUUAUCAAGAACGGAUAGCGCAUAUGGGAUAUAUAUGGAUCAUGCGGAACCUUAUCAUAACAUGGAUGCAUGCAUGAAGCUGAAGCUAGCUAGAUCAUCAGGUACAAAGUGGCAAGCAGCACUGCUAUAGCUUAAGUUUGGCUUAUUGGGCAACGACUCGAUCGUAAAGUAUCCCUAUAUCAGUGUGACUGAGCUAGGCUGCGCUAUAUUAUAUAUCAAUCUAGUAUAAAGGUAAAACUAAAAUGUUAGGGUUCCUAGAGUAAGGUAAUCGCGUUCGUGUAUUUGGGUAUGGAAUCAGUUACAGAAAGAAUAACUAAUCUUUCUUCACGCCCAAGUAGCGGAUUAGCGUGCCGAGUAUGCUGCAUGCAUGGUUGUACUUAAGCUAUGGCUUAGUUAACAAAGGUUUUAAAAAGAGGAUGUUAUGCAGAAGGCGUGUAUCUACACUAAUACAUAUGCAUGAUAGUCCUCAUAUAUGAAAGAUUAAAGAUGCACCGUUCACUUACACCGUCAAAAAUAGUUGGGUUAGCUAGGCAUAUCACAAGAGAAUAAUAGCUAACUUCUGCUGCACCCCUCGUACAUUUCAUCUUCGAAAUGUGAGAUGUUAAUAAAGGAAAAUUUUAGUAUGGUAUAGCAUGUCUCACAAAACAUGUGGCUAUCAAAACAACUAAAUGAUCAUGUAAUGACCAUUUACCCCUUCAAAAGUCUCCAUAUGUCAUACAAUUAGACACAUUUGUAAUAGAUAUCAUACCAUAUGGUAUGACUGACAAACCCGUUAACAAAUUGAUUUUGGGUGACCUGUGAAUAAACUUUUCAGUCUUUUAUGUUUGCUGUUAUUUUGGGCCUAAACCACCGUUGGGCUGAUCCAAGUAGCCCAGUCUCAUUCCCACCUGAAACGCGGCGUUGAAGUCAUAAUCCCGUAUAGUAUAACACUUCUCUCGCAUAGAAGCUUUCACUGUAAGCGUUAGGGUAAGAUCCCAGAAGGUCCACUUUACCAAACGCUUCACUUUCUCUAUUCAGAAGACGAAGGCAUUUCCCUCCCUGAGUUUACAAUUGUCUUGCUUGUUGAUUGGGACAUUGAGUUAUCUAAAGUGAGGGAGAACUAUGUAUUGUGCAGUAGGUUUGGAAAGAAAAAAAAGAAAUCCGGGCCUUGUAGGAUGAUCUGAAUCUGGAAUUGAGCGAUGAAUCAGAUCAUACUUGCAAUAGUUACCUAUCUACACAUCUUACUUUUAUGGUCAUAGAUCUCGAUCAUGACUUUGCUGUUUGCAUGCACAUCUCUUUUCUUGUAUUUAAUUUUUUUUUGGUUGCAAGUAUACCCAUGAAUGAUAGAUAAGUCGAUACUAGACGGUUAUAUAUGAGAGGUAUCAAAAGAAAUCACAAACAUACAGCUUACUCUGCUGAUUAUCAACCUGAAACGUCAUGCUGAACUUCAAACACUGACUGUAAUGAUCAAAGAAAAAUAUACAUAUCGUAUCAGAUUGACAAUGUACGAAGAACAUUACCCACCCAACUGUAGAGAUAGCAAUCACAAACUAUGACUAGCAGACUUUGCAGUUUGCUUCGGUUUUCUGAUACAAAACUAUAUAAGGUGCCCAACUUGAUUAAUUUCAUGUUCUGCUUGAGCAGUCACAUAAUCCGGCAGGAACACGGAGUCCAAAUUAACAUGAAUAUUGCUUAAUAUGAUGAUUAGGGACCGAGCCGGUAAUGACCAUCGCCGAUGUAGUGGCCAUCCAUAUAGAGGGCUGCUGCAUUCUGUGGAUGCAAGCCAUCCAUCACCAUGAACUGCAUGUCCUCCGAUGGUUUCCAGUGCCUCUUCCUUUGAUUUAUGAACCAGUUGUUUAUCUGCUUCUGAUCCAAACCUGUCGACUCUGCCAAUGCCACCUUCUCCGACUCCUGCAUUGUACAUGAACGGGUAAAUUUAUAGUCUGAUCGACAACUUAACCCAAAACAAGAGAUUGUUAAAGGGUAGUCCGUAGUCGAGUAGUAGGUACCGAAGGAUAUGGCCACUUGUAAUGCAACUCCCACCAGCUGAGAAGCUUCUGUCUGGCGUCUUUGGGCAAUUUGCCUUUCUUCUUUUUUUUGGAUAGUUCUUGCUUGAGGCUACUCAAGUAACCACUGUACUUUCUCAACAGGUGGUUUUUAAGCUCUCUGUCUUCAGCUCUCGGAUCAAUCUCGGCUACUUCUGUUUCUCCACCGCUGUUGUUGUCCUGGUCCUCUUCAGAUGAACCAUUUCCGUCACACUUGUCAUCUGUGUAUGUUUAUGCAAUAUGUCAUCUUAAACUACGUAUCAAGAUAAGCAGGAAACUUAUGCUAGAAAACAUUAAUGAGCCAAUAAUCUUGAUAAACAAAUCGGGAUACUAAAUCACAUCCGCUACUUCUUAGAUCACAUAAACCUAAGAACAUGCAUAAGCAACUUCGCUUAAUCGCGUCGAUGCAAUUCUUGAAUUAUAGUGUACUUAUGUACCCGCAUAUAUUUUUACUAUAUCUUAGCUUGAUCUAAUUUGGACAUCUUAUAUAAGCUACUUAUGAUAGGAGUCGCUACAUGAUUGUCAACAUAUAUUUCACUCAUAUUCAUUCCACUCAUUUUACCGAUCUACUUUUCUUCUUUCCAAUUGCCAUAGCAAUUCUCUUUUACACCAAGGGGACAUACAUCCAAAUCAAAUGAAGAACGAAAGAGGGGAAAACUUAGAACAGCAUGCUAAAAAAAAAAGGAUAACAAGAAUAAUGAAAUAUGAGAAAUGGGUGAGGGGAAAACUUAGAACAGCAUGCUAAAAAACAAUGGAUAACAAGAAUAAUGAAAUAUGAGAAAUGGGUGUAAGAUCAAGACAAGCAUCAUGAGAGAAAAGUAGGGAUGGAUAUAAAGAAGUCAGUUGAUUAAGAUUAAAAGACUCGAAAACAGUCUCAGAAUAUCUCGGAAAUUGGAAUACAAUCCCAGUAAAUACAUGUGCUGUGCUUCUCAUCUAAGUUCCUCACUUUCUGCCUCCUAGUGAAAACCAGUAGAGGAUGAAUUUUAUAAUGGGAGAGGCCAGCAGGCACCACUCCGGCUACAACAGCCCAUGACAACCAAGUAUUAAGAGGGUCUAUCAAGUUAAUAUGAAGAUUACAGGUCUAGUAAACAGACUCCAUUACCAAAUCACUAAGCAAUAUAUAUAUGUGACUAUUCUCCGGCAUAUAGAUUAACUAGGCAUAUAAAAAAUUGCAUUAUGUGAGAUGAACAAAGAUUAGUUUCCUGGUCAGAUUGGCAAGAGUUGUCAGAUCUUUUUUUUUUCCUUAUUUUAAUUUAUUCCGGGGGAAGAGAUGUCAAAUCUGGGACUUGGUAUAGCAUGGACAUAGAUAAAUGAAGGUGGUAUUAACUCUCAGCUGACAUGUCCCUACUGGCUUUCUUCUACCUACGAGGUGCAUCUGAUUUAAACAGCAUCCUAUGUUCUUUGUUACAUUAUUGUUUCUAUAGGGAUGCAAUAUCUUGUUUAUUCAUAGGUUUUGGAAUACAAAUAGCAGACCAAAAGAAAAUUAUUGUAAAAAAAGAAAAACCAUUUUUAGCAUAACCAGUGAGGAAUAGGAUGAUGAACUCGCGAAUGAGAGAUAUAGAUUUUCAUUUUGGCAGAAGGGAAUGGGAAUGAACACAAUGAUUACCUCUACGCAAACAUGGUAUCUGUAAAUCCCACAAUCCCUACAUAAACAAAACCCUAAUAAGAGAAAUAAGAAUGAACCAGAAUUGUCAGACACUGGUUGCUUGAAUCUAACCAUAUUCACCUACAUAUAUAUUGUGUUUGUCUGCAUAUAUAUACUCGAUCCAAGUGCGACAGUGCGUUUGUCUAAACCAGCUACUCCUUUCUUUCCCAAUGUGUACAUAUCAAUAUUCUAAUGAAAUCUUAAAAUAUAGUUAAGCAAAGGGUUAAUUAAGCCUAAAUUAAUCACACUGUUGAGCUCGUGCAUAUUACGUACGGUAUGUCGAUGUUAAUUAAGCCUCUCGUGAAAAGAGUAUGUGUACUGGACUACUGGUUGCUGUUGCUUCUUCCAUCUUCCUGUUCUUACGCGUUCUUCAGCAUUUGGAAUGCAGAUACUAUUAGUCGGAAUCUGGGUCAAAGUUGCGUUCAAAUCUCAACACCAGAUUUGACAGAGUCGCAAAUGAACGAGAUCUCUGACGGGUUUAAUUUACGGUUCUCAAGGAAGAGAAAAACAACAGUUGGACUCGAUUAACUAAGCUACCAUUUCAAGAAUCAAGAACAGACAAACCAAAAUCUGAGAGUGAUUAAGAUUACUGUGGUUAAGUGCUGUUUGAUCUAAUCCAGUGAUUAACUAAUUACCUAGUGCAGAGGCCGAGAAGAUGCGCAGAGGAGUAGCGGUGCUGUUAUUGCCAAGCAUGUUAAGUUGAGUUUCGAUCUUCUUCAUGAAAUCCAUUGCUUCUUGUAUGGGCCUUGUUAGUUCCUCCCGAUACUUAACCAGCAUAUCAUAAUAAGCUUCCUGUUGAAACAAGUUUAAUUAUCCAAAUUUUAAUUGAGGUGAGAAGAAAAAGAGAGAGAAAAAAAAAUGGAACAAAAGAAGAAGGAAGAAGACACUUGGAUCAUAAUCACCAUGAACUGAUCGAGUUCUGGGUCUUUUGAAGAAGCAUCUCUCGAACUGACUGAAGAUCGCUGUCGUGCUACAAACUCUUGGCGCGCAGCUGAGAGACGAGCCACAACUUCAGAUGGAGCUCCCACCUAAAAAUAUAAUACGGCUAGUAAGAGGCAAAUUAUUGAUAAUUAAGAGAAGCAUUAGAACUAGUUAGAGUCAUGUGUUGUUAUAUACCCUUUGGCAAUCCAUGUAAGCUUGCAAGAGGUUAGAGUAGUGAGGGUGGGCGAUGAUCUUAGCUUUAAUGGCCUCCACUUCAUUCUCGUUUUGCUGCUGAACCGGAAGCUGCUGAUCAUUGUGACCUCUUGACAAUACUAAUGAAGGGGGAGGAAACUGAGGAUGAUGAAAUUUGUGACGAGCAUGCUGGGAAGUACUUCCGGCUGCUUCGGUUUUCACGGUUGACUGUGUUGACGGAAAACACUCACCGCCGCUGGAUUGAAGAUGAAAGGUGUUGUUCUGCUGAUUAUGAUCACUUGCAGCAGCAGCUCUACCAUAGUUACCUCCAAGAGUUGGAGAAGCGUAGAGGAAAUUUCCUCUAGGAGUGCCUUGACUCUCAUGAUCCAUUUCAUCACUGUUAUUGUAUUCCUCCAUUUCCAAUUCAAAGACUUCCAACUAAUUGUUUCAGCUAAUUAAGAUUUAAGCACCGAAAACCCUAAGCAAAUCAAACUAAAAUAGAAACGAUGAAAGGAAGAAGUUGAAACCCUAAGUUCCUAAGCAUGGCCUGCAGGUCUUGUUCAAGGUAAAUGGGAAAUAAUAUUUAUGUGCAAUUAAAGCAUGGAAUUAUGGAGGUUGAGAUAGGGGCAAGAAUAAGGGCAUGCUAUAACCGUCAAAGAGUUUCCCUUGGCAUAUGGAGAAAGGAGAAGGAUCAAGAUGAAGGGGGGUGGAGUUGGCCGGAUAGCGUGGCCGGUCGAACCGGCGGCAGCACCGAUUCUGGGGGUGGAGAUGUGGCUGAAGAAGAGUCUAGUGUUCUUUGUUGCUAGAAAAAAGUAGUUGAAAAUGGUGGAAAGCCUAAGAUAUGACGCUCACUAUAGAAGACCUAGCGAUAAGGCAAGACAUUAGAUUAGAUUAUAUUGGGAGAUUUUCUUCCUUGUCUCUCUGCUUCCCUCUCAAUGUUUGAUUUUAACCUUUGUUUCACGGGGCCUUUCAAUCUCUGACUCCUUUAUUUGCUGGCGUUUUCAUUUCUCAAUUCAAUAUGUUAUCCACCCCCCUCUCUCUCUCCUGCAUAAAGAUAUUCCGACAAGUUUUUACUUCUUAUUUUUUUCUAUAUAUCCAUAUAUGAUAAUGGUAGAGGAGUCUUAACAAUGUCUAAAAUUUAUGGUCUUAAUCUUACGUGGCAUGUCAUGUCACAUAAACACAUCAUCAAUUUAAUAAAUCAUGUCAUUUUAUUCUUAGGUAAAAAUACAAUUUUAACCAAUAAUUAAUGGAUGCUACAUGUUAAUAUGAAAUAUUUUCUUAUCCUUUUAGUAUGGAUGCAUAUAUACCAAAUUUAAUUAAUUUAUUAAUAACAAUGACCAAGUUAAUAGUCACAACAAAUUAGGUUUUUAUACCAUAAAUCAAUUUCUUAAAUUUAUUAAAAUCUCCUUCUAUCUUUGUGAAUCAAAAUUUAGUUACAUUUUAAUAUUUUAUUUUUACAGUUUAAAAUUAUGAUAUCUAUAUAUAAGCCCAUAUUUUGUAUUGAAUUUUUAAAAUAAAAAAAUCUCUAUCAAAUUUCUUGAUUACGUGUGUGUGUAUAUAUAUACACACACUUUAUUUUGGACGAAUUAUAUAUAUGUAUAUGUAAUUCAUAAUUUACAUGUUUUUGAACAAGUAUAUUCUCAUAAAUAUAUGUAUUUCCACACUAUAUGUUACGUUCAAUUUAAGCAUGAUAGUGAUGAAAAGUAGGGCUGGCAUUGGUAAGUAUACCGACUUUAUUUACCAAUACCAUGUACUAACAAACUUAUGAUUGGUAAACAAAAUCUUCUACCAAAACCAACCGUUGAAGUUGGUAUACCGCCGAAAUUGGUAUACCGACUUAGUUGAUAUGGUUGGUAAUACGCCUCUACCAAGUUUAGAUUGUGGUCCAAAAAAUAAAGUGAUAAAUAUAAUUUGUUCACAAAUAUAAUGCAAUGAUAGCUUUGGUCUGGUGGUAUGUGGUCAUAUUUCCCAUCAAAGCGGUCAUCGUUUCAAAACAUACCUCUUGUCAAAAUUUAAACAUUUUAUAUUUUAAUUGUAUUUAUAUCUAUAGGAUGUUAUAAAUAUAAAACAAUACAUAUAUUAUAUAUUAUACAUAUAUUUUAAUUGUCUUUACAUAUAUUAUACAUUUUAUAGGUUGUUUGUAAGAGGUUAGAUGUUCAAUUCUCGUUUCCUACAUAGAUAUAGAUGUAUUUUUGCAUAAUUACACAUACAUGGUUGGUACGGUAUACCGAUGGUAUAAAAAUCUCAAUACCAAGUACCAACUAUAUAUGUUACCAAGACUGGUACGGUAAGUCGGUUACUAAGUCUUUAGUUGGUACAGUUGGUACUUGGUUGGUUGGUUUCGACAUGACCUAAAUUGCCAGCCCUAAUGAAACGGAAUAGAGAAAGAAAAUGCUAGAGAAAUAUAUAUUUUUUAAUUAUAAAAGAAAGACAAAAGAAAAUUCUCUUAAUAAAAUGACAAAAUAAUAUAGAGUCAUUAGAUUUGGAAAGAUAAAAUUGUAUUUUUAUUUAAGAACGACAUGGCAUAAUCUUUUUAAUUGGUGAUGUGUCUAGGUGACAUAGCAUGCAUACCAUCUAAGAUUAAGACCAUAAAUUUUAGGCUUUAUUAUCAUUUUCCUAUACACGUUUUUAACUCCCUUACUUUUCGGUAUCACAGUAGUUCAUUUAAAAACAAAAAGAAAAAACAAAUCAUUCAAUUUUUAUAGAGGAAUACUAAAGCUAGUCGCUAGAGUAGUCAUUACAUGUCUUUCCGCUACCAUGUACAGAUAGAGAAAAAAAUGUUAUGAUUGCUUAUAAUGGAUGUAAGAUAGAACUACUCACUAAACAUAUCAUGCUCAUUUAUUAAAGCGAGCAUGUUACUAACAAUUGCUAGGAUAGUAAUAGGCUUGAAAUAAUAAAACUUAAACUAGGUCCAGAAUGGCUUCGUUGCCUCCGUACCUAAUACGCCGUCACAGAGAUCCAUGGUUUCAUAGCAGCAACACAACCCAUUAAAAUGUCGGCUUUACCAUAGAACGUAGCCGCCCAAAAAACAUCAGAUACCUUAAACAACUUCCAUGGACGAUUCCAAGCCAAACCAAAUUGAUUUUACCAAGCCGUCUAGUUAGAGCAGACACCACCACGAAUCACCAUAGCAGACCUCGAUGGAGGGGAGGAAAUUAAAGAAGGAAAAUUCGACCAAAAAUCAUCGCCUUGCAUAGAUGGGAGGCUAAAGAAGACCACCUUGAUAGUAUCCCAACGCCAUGAUGGCUAGGGUUGAUAGAGACCAUGGAGAGCUUUUUAUUUUUUCUUUUUCACUGUAGUUCAUGUCGGUGAUUAAUUAAGUUAUUUUAAUUAUGAGAUUUUUUCACCUGUAUUAUGUUUGUUGUAGAGAAAUUCAAAAGAAUGAAAUAUAUUGUGUAAUUUACUGAUGAAUUAAGUCUCUAUGUGUAUAAAGGAAUACAAAUGUAUGUAUAAUUCAUUUUAUUAGAUAAGAAAACAUAACUAUUUUCAUAAUAUGAUAAGUAAAUCUAGGAGAUUCACAUUCAUUAUUUUACCGGAUUACACAAUUUUUUGGUUAACUAAGUACACAUACAUUAGGUUAACAAACGUUACUUUUGUUAGGCUAGCUUAUAAAUUUGUUCUAUAAGGAGGAAACACUUCAUAUCAGUUGUCAAAAAUUUGGCAAAGCCGUUUGAUAGUUAAGAAAGGAAAUUACUUAUCUAACUAGGCAUGGUUAGACAUAACUAACCACAGCCAAUGAGACACGAACAUGUGAUCAUCAAAAUGCUAAAACCCUUUACAAUGUCUUCUAAAUUGUAGCCAAAUCUUUCUAACUGAACAGUUGUUUAUUUCUCGUUAGUGUUUGUCAGCUAUCAGGUAACCCUUCCGUUAAGAAAUUAGAAUAUGUACAUUAGCUUUCAUCCAUUUCUAUCCUUCGUCUUUUAUUUGGAUUAAUUCCUUUUUAUUCGACUGAGGAAGGAAAAAAAGGACAGCUGAACUUUAUUGAUUUCUUCUUUUUUCUUAGAUUGAGCUGAACUCUAUUGAUGGCUGUGCAACAUAUGUACUACUGCACUAAAAGUCUAGUUAUUCUAUCAAAAUUCGUUUCUACCUUUUUUUGAUUGAGAAAUUCGUUUCUACUUUCUUCGCUUUCAGUUCUAUUUUUAUUACUAUACAAGUAGAGGGAGGUGAUAUUCACACUAUCUUUUUAUGUUAUAAUUAACAAUUAACCUCAGAUUAGAUCCAACGGGGACACCCGAUAAGAAAAUUAUGGACGCACCUGUUGUUAAUUAAGUGUAGCCCCUUCAACCUUGUCUCAUUAACCAAAUCACACUAAUGACGGGCGCAAUUUUAGGGUACUAAUUCAAUUUAGUAAUUUAGUAAGAUCAAAUCUUGUACUCUGCUAUAUAUAUAGUAAGUUAAUUAGCAACUUUAUCCAAAUGGUAAGAUCACAGUUAACCCCAAUAAUAAUUAGUUGUUGAUUAGAACACUUAUCAUUGGUUUAUUACAUGUUUCAUCGCUCUACUUUGAUUAAACCAGAUUACUGCAGAGUUGAAAUACAUGAACAUGGAACUGUAUCCUUGAUAUUCUCCAUGGAGACGAACCAAACCAGGGCCAGUUAGAAAUCUCAGCAGCUGACUAAACUAGCUCUGCUGACAAAUGGACACGUCUUUAGAAAGAAUUUAUAAUGAAAAGACAUUUGAUUGACUUGUUGUCGCAUAACUAUCAAUUUUAGUAUCAAGCAUAAACUAUACGAUGAGAAAUUUGAUCUUUCUCAAAAUUCUGAAAAUAAGCAAUGUCCCUCGUUUAUUUUUACUGUAAAAAGUAAUUUUAUGACAAGCUCCUCGAGGUAUCUCAUAUAUACGCUGGUUUAUGGACUGUAAACAAUACGUUACCCUUGCUGGAUGAGUUAAUUGAAAAGGAUAACCGGUAAAAUGAAGACCUGGUGUGCUGUAAUGUACGGGACUAAAGUAAUUUCCAGUUUGAAUUGCAGGAAAGCAUGUGUGUACAAUAUGACUGACUGAUUGACGCAUGCAGCAAAUUAAGCAUAGAGUUAAACCCAAUUAGUCCUAAAUUAACACGAGCAUUGUUUUAUCGUCGAGGUAGAGAAGAGGGAUGAUUAAGCGAGCAGUAAAAGAGAUUAGGGUAAAGACCAAAUGCAACGAUUAUUAUCAUUCCCUCAGUUUAGGACUUCAUAUAACAACUGUAGGUGUCAUUAUUAAAUAAAAAUAGAGAGGCUUUCCCCUUUUAAAUUAAAAAAAAAAACUAGCAGGUGAUCGCAAAUUAGAACUUCAGUUUAUGCGACCUCUAACUCCUUCAGUUUAUAGCUGGCGGCGACGACCACCGCUUUAUCUUAGAUUCUGAGGUGCACGACGCACGCGCCCAGAUAAUUAAAAAGCCAAACUGAGAGUCAGAGAGAGAGAGAGAGACCCUACUGCAUGUCACUACUGGCCACUGGGGACUGGAAUGGAGUUUUCUAUUAGGUUAGAAUACACCCCCGAAAGAUGCGCGCUACUAGUACUUGGGGGCCAUGUCCACCUGUUCUUGUUUUCUUCUCUCUUCCCAGAUAAGUCUGAAUGCUCGGAUUGGACGUCUCACCCAGACACAGAGAGACUGUACUCUACUGGUACUCCAGUAUCAGGGCUGCUUGCUAUAGAAUUGUUUCACUGUAGUACCACCACUUACUGUUUCACUGUUACUGUUUUCUCUCUCUAGCUCACUCACUCACACUCACAGUCUCGCUCACUCACCGGUCACCACUGCUCCUUUGCUUCUUCCCCAUGCAGCAGUGCUCGCACUUUCAUAUCCUCAGUCGCUCCCAAACAAUGUUGACGAUAUUGACCAUAUGUGCAGCCGAAAAUUCUUUCUUUAUUCACAGAACCAAACGCUCGAUCAUCUGAUAUUAUCUAAUUAAAUAGACUUCGUGGUGUUUCUUUACCUCUGUUAAAAACUAAAGCAGAAUAUGGAACCCAAGUUAAAGCUUACGCACCAGUCUUAUAAUUAAUUAAGUACAACUUGAAACGAAAAUAAUUAUAGAUUGAUAACCUCACUAGUUAAUUAACAAAUUAAAUCCGUUGUGUGUUGUGGCAAGUUCUCGUCGUAAAACCAAUUAGUGCAGCAUUACAUUUCUGUUUUCGUUUCUUUUUGGAUUCUACCAUUACAAGAUUGGGGUUGAAUUAACUAAUAGAUUCAUUUGAGGUUGGUACUUAAUUAAGUCUGAGAUUAGAUUAUACGACCGAAUUAGAUUUGCAUUUGCAUUUGCUCUACAGUUGUUCGACUGUCUAUUAUUGGUGCCUGCCUUUUGCCUAUCACAUCGCCAUCUUCUCAUCAUCAUAUGAAUGAGCUGUUCCUGUCAACUCACUCACAUCAUCACAUAUAUAUAAUUAACAACAAUCCCCUGCCUUAAUUAUAGCAUGUAAUUUUUUGACACACUUGAACUAAUCAGUAUUGAAAGGAAAUUAAAGAUCAAAACCCUACGUAAAGUAUAUUAUGCAGGAGAUAUAUAUAUAUAUAUAUAUACAGAGAUUUUCAGGUGCAGACGUCCGCACCGUAAAACGGUGAGGAUUUCCGUCCGUUCGUCACCGUACGGCACCGGCGAGGGCGCGCAUCCACCCCAGCGGACUCCAGCAGUUUCUCCGACCACUUUUCAUCCCCGGCGAGUUCGCCGAAUUGCAGUUUUCCGGCUAGAUCACCCAAAACAUCAAACAAGUCAAUCUGGCCGAAAAACUGCAAUUCGGCGGACUCGUCGGGGAUGGAAAGUGGUCGGGGAAGCUGCUGGAGUCCGCUGGGGUGGAAGCGCGCUCUCACCGGCGCCGUACGGUGACGAACGGACAGACGUCCGCACAGUAAAGCGGUGCAGAUGUCCGCACAGUAAAGCGGUGCAGAUGUCCGCACAUGAGAAUCUCUGUAUAUAUAUACACACGAUCGUUAUCAGGUGCGGACGUCCGCACGGUUUUUAAAGUGCGGACGUCGUGCGGAAGUCCCUCCUUUCGUCACCGUACGACAUUGGCGAGGGCGCGCCUCCACCCUAGUAGACUCCAGCAGCUUCCCCGACCAUUUUUCAUCCUCGACGAGUCCGCCGAAUUCCAGUUUUCCGGCCAGAUUGACUUUGUUUGAAGUUUUGAGUGAUCUGGCCGAAAAACUGGAAUUCGGCGGACUCGCCGAGGAGGAAAAGUGGUCGGGAAAGCUGCUAGAGUCCGCUGGGGUGGAGGCGCGUCCUCGCCGACGCCGUACGGUGGUGAACGGAGAGAAAUCCGUACCUUAAAACAGUACGGAUGUCCGUAUCAGAAACGGACUGUAUAUACACAAUUUCGAGUUCCUAAUUUUACACCGUAACAAAUUCAGACCCCUAUGUCGUUAUUCUUAAUACAAUUAGAUACAAACACAAAUAAUAUCAACCCAGCUAAUUCGAAGCAUACGGGGAAGUUUAAUAUACAACCAAUCAAACUAUUUGCGCGCAGGGCAUCCAAAGAGAUAUAUAAUAUGCACCAUGGUUUUGGCUGAGAUUCCAAACCAACAAGCUGUGCGUGGAAAGAUAUUGUCCACACUAAGUUUUAUUAGUGGUACCUAUCUGGGAUAAUUAGUCCCCACCCAGCUGCUUAGCACAACGUGAUUACCAAACCACAGUAAACACAAUUAUCAUUUGCUUUAUUAGCUAGCUAGAAAGCUAAGCAAAUUAUUCCACUUUUGUUUGCCUCUAAUUACAAUUAUGAUGUUAAAGAUCGGUUGAGGAGUCGCAAGCAAAGUGAGUCAUGAAUAAAAGUUCUGUCUUUUUGUUUAAGGGUAAAUAUCAUAUUUAGAUGGAGGUUUCAAUCGCACAGUUACGAGCACUAAGCUAGAAUUGAGCUUAUUUGUCUACAUUGUUUGGAAUAAUAAAUAUUGAUUGUCUGAUUAAGUUAAGCUUUUUAAGAGUCGGAUUUGAUAGAUGUCAAGAGAGAAUGAGGAUUAGCGUAAUCACAAAGACUCAAAGUUUUGAAUAAUUUAAAGGAAACGUAUCUCGUUUUCUUCUGUCCUUAUGCCAUGGAACGAAUCAACUUCUCAUCUUCAAUCUAAUUUAAUUCCAAUAUAUAAUCUUGCAUAUUAUUGUUGAUUGGUAUGAAUCUGUUGGUACAUGGAGCUUUUCCUUUCUGGAGCAACUUUGUAUGUGUGUGAAUAUAGGUUUCCAGAACGAACGUUUCAUUUUAUAAUUCAGAAAUUAACAGUAAACUAUCUAAUAAUUUGUUUUGACAGUCAAAAGCUUACUUUAAUUAGACACCUGAUUUAAGUAUUAUUACAUACGUAAGUGAUUGCUAGGUAAUUAAUCUGCUUAUAUUUCUGCCACGGAAAAAAGUCUUAGUAAUUCACUAAAACUGCAUACACAAAACCAAAACCAAAAAACCAAAAAAACAAAAGCAAUGGAGUAUAGGCAGAUCUAAAUCUAAUCUAAAUGUACAAAAUUCUAGCUAGGGUAUACUGAAGUCAAGUGAUAUGAUCCUGAAUAGCAGUAAGCCGCCUAAUGUCUGUAGCAAGUUCUUAUUUAAGAAAAGGGUAGCUCCAAUCAAAACUAAAUUACCAUUUGCUGAGUACCGUAACAGCAGACAAGACAACUUACAGUAAAUAUUAAUUAUAAUGUAUGUAACUGUGUAGGUAAAUAGGGUUUUGGGGUACGUAGCAGGGCUAUAACUAGGGCUAGUAGUUGUUUGAUCGAUCACUUCAGAAGAAAAUAUAUACCAGUAGGCUGAAGACCUACCAAAAAACAUGAACAGAAUGGUGACACAGUAUUUCAAACAGAAGCAGUGAAACAACUGUAGAAUUUAGUAAAUAAAUAAACAGUGCAUGAAAGAAAUUGAAUAGAUAUAUUUGACAAAAGAAGCUAGCUAGAACUAGAACUAGAACUAAAACUUCAUCAGGCUCCCCGAAACAAUUAGAGAUUACAAUUUACUUUGCGGUGUGUGCUCAAGCCUCAAGCUAAUGUAACAAAAAAAAAAACAACUCUUGAAAGUUAUACCUGGGAGCUACAGAACACUGGAAACCAUGGUAACGAGUGUUGGUUAAUGACAGACAGGAGGAGAGUAUCGGGCGGAGGGUUCUCUCAAACAGAGAGAGAGAGAGAGAGAGAGAGAGAGAGAGAGAGAGAGUAUAUCAGAGAGCUAGGUGGGUGGGUGCAUGAUGGGGGGGGGGGGGCCGUGACAAACGCUGUCGUUUGGGGAGAAAGGCGCGCGAGAACAGCGCGGGAGUUGUUUCCCGAUGCAGUAGUGUAUCGGAGACAUGAUAACAGCUCUGCCAGUGUCCCACUUUCCCUUCUCAGCUACUCCACGUCUCCACCAUUCCAUCCAUCCAUCAGCUAUUUUUCAUUUCCUAUUUUCCUUUUCUUAUAUAUAAAUUCCUCUCUCUAGCUCUUCCAGUUUUAAUUUAUAAUUUAUUGAGAAGAGAAAAGAACUAGUUUUCUCUGUCAACUUUCUGAUACGUCUGCGACCCACCCAGCACUCCCCAUCAUAUCAAACGUUAACUCUACUGAUGCUGACCACCAUAUCUCAGACUGCCAUCUCUUCCGAUCUGACCUCAUGAAAUAUACAUAUAUGCAGACAGCAAUGGGGUAAAAGUAAUGCUACUCUUAACCCUCCGGUAUUUCAACUUGUGUUAAGGUGACCUAUUAUUGGAGGUAAAAAAACAUGUUAAACACUAUUACAAUUUUCGCUCCACUCAUAUCUAGCUCAUGAACAGAAUGGUGUUGAAAUAGUUUCAAGAUAAUCUCCAUGCUAUUACAUUCCAAAAAUAUCCUUUCGAAAUAUGAAUUUGCAUAUGCUCAUGAGUAAAAUUGUCAGGUGCCAACUAGCUUGUUUUAGGCUUUGAAACAGCCUACCUAGCUCAGAUUUGAUCAAAUUUACUCGUAAUACUCUAAGAUUCGAUCAAAAUUACUCGUAAUACUCUUUUUCUUUUUCGACAAGUUGUCAAAUGGAUUAUGAAGUAAUCGAAUGACGUUACCCUAGCAUGAUUCUUGUUUUGGUUUCAUCAAGAACAUUAUAAGUAGCUGGUUCACAUAGAAUUUGCGUGAUUGGACCACAAGUAACUCAGUGUGACACCAAGGAAACAAGCAUGGUGUUGUUGGCCAAGAUCAUGUUGGGGCAUAAGAACAACGGUGAAUGUGCACCACGGAAAGGCUUGCUGUGCACCCAUGUGGGAUAUGGGUCCUGAGUGACCAGGUAAUUAGGGACAGGGAUGGGACUGUGUUUGGGGUCCUUCAGCAUAAUCAUACCAAUGGAGAGAAAAAAAAGAGAAGAAAAGGGAAAAAAAAAAGAAGAAGAAAAGGAAACUCUUAAGUCUCCAACUACAACAAGUAGUCAUAAUCAUAGCCCUCAUAGUCUGGUAGUACUACCAGUAGCAGAUGGUGGGUGUCUAUCAGAUCGAUGUGAUUGAGAGGGGCCAUUUCUUUCCUAAAAGGUAUAUUGGGUUCGGACCCUUGAUGAUAAUUUGGAAUCCCAAAUCAUUGUAGGGAUCAGUCUUUUGAUCGUGCAUAGUAACAUACCAUGUUUAAUGUAAUCUGUUUGAUGUUGAUCUGACUCUUAUAUUUUGUAUGUAUUUGUGGAUGUAUCAUAUCCUUAUUUCAGUGAUCAGAAAUUACAAACCCAUAUACAUGAAAUGGAGCAUUGAAAAGAAUGGCAGACAAGUUUAAGAAUGUGGAAGAGAAGCAGCAGAGUUAAAGAGCAAUGGAAACCUCAAAUGGGGAGUCAUCACCCUUGUCAACAACGAAUGUCUUUAGAACUUUCUUGGUGACGGUAGCGAUCUCUAUACUGUAUGUUCCAUGGAAGCCUCUAAACUUGAACUGUCCCUGUUCGUCAAUGUGUCCAUGAGCAUGAGACAGCCACUCUUGCUUGAGUUGCAAGUAACGCUUUCCGGCUUCGUUGAUAUCCCCUUCGGCAUUCACUAGAUGUGAAUUUUCACGGCUCAUGAACAGCUCCCAGAAACCCCACAGGACAAUGCCUUCUACUGAGGGAUUGGCAAAUGCUUCUCUAAGCAUCACUUCCAAGUCAUCUGCACGAACAUAUUCGUUGCUCGAUGACACAUCAAGUUCUGUGAACCAAAUUGGAAGGCCAAGGAUACCCAACUUAUCAAGAGCAGAACAAACAAUUGGACCUACUGGACUAUCAAUAUGUCCUUGAAUUCCAAUCCCACCAACAGGGGCACCUUCUUGUUGCAAAUCAAGGAUCUGCUCAAUGUACUUUUCUGGUGCUGAUCUGGUAUCACAUCCAUCCUCGACAUGAUAAUCAUUCACAAAUAGGAGUGCAGAUGGAUCCAACUGGUUUGCCAUCUUGAACAUGUUGGCUCGGAUAUCUUUACCCAAUUUGUCUUGAUAGAAUGAACCAUGCAGCAUCUCAUUAUUGACAUCAUAGUGCUUGAACUUCCCUUUGUAGCGGGUGAGAAGGUCUGUUACUCGAUUUUGGACAGCAGUUGCCAAGUCAUUUUGGCUCAAUGAACGGAUCCAUUGCUGCACCGUGUCCACCACUUCCCAGUAGAUACAAUGGCCACGCAUAUCUAUGCUGUGACUCAUGCACAAGUCCACCAUCUCAUCGGCAUCCUUGUAAUUGAAGUUUCCCUUUUGAGGUUCAGUCCAAUACCACUUCAAUUCAUUUCCAAAUACAGACCAGUUGAAGUUUUUCACAAAGAAGUCAACAAAAUCUUCAUUGUCUAUGUUUGUUCUGCUUAUGCAUGUCCCAAAUGGAAAACUGCUUUGUGAUUGUUUAAUUUUCACGCAGCUGCCAAAUGCGCUGCUCGAGUCUAAUCCUGAAAAUUUCAGGAUAACAUCACGCUUACGGAUCUGCAUUGAAACAAACAAUUGAUAGAUCAGAAGAAGCCAAGGAAAACCCAAUCUGAAUCGUAUAUAUAUAGUGAGACAAGUUUAAUGAUGCUUAUACAAAUGUCAUGUUGUCAGUACUUAAUUGCUGCCUACAAAGCAAAUUAGCUAACAACCCAUAUACCUUCUCAGUCUGCCUCUUCAAGUGUCUAAAUCUUGCUUGUCUGUCAACAGGAAAUAUCUGAAGUCCAGCAACCAUUAAGUCUACACCUGAAGCAGGACCCUGGAUAUACACCAUAACUUUGGAUGGCUGCUUCUCAAUUCUAAAGGAACCACCAAUUUCAUGCCAUCUGUUGUCACCCACCUCAGCUUGGCCUCCGUUCACCCACUGAUUGUCCACACUGAGUGCAAUGUUCACAUUUUGUGGACCAGUUGCUCCAGAACCAAUCCGAACCCAAGCAGAUACUUGAUAUGUCAAGAAGAGUUUCAAUUUGUCACCGAUCAUCUGAGCAGGACCCAUCCAAGUCUGUGUGCGCUUGGUUACAAGGAUGUAGCGACCACUUAAAGGUUCAUGAGCACCAAGGCUAUCUCUUGCCAUUGGAGGAAGUAUAUGCGGUGAACCAGUUCCCACACUCAAGGUGCAAUUACCAAGAGGAAACCACCCAUUGGUGCCAUUACUUAGAUUACUGUUCUCAAUAAUAUUUACUCCAAAAGCAGGAUUCUACAAAAACAAAAACACAUAUUUAACGUUUAUGUACCAAGUAUUCAGCUCCAAGAAAACAUGCUUAGACAAUUGUAGACAGAAAAAAUUUAAUUAUUCCACUAACCUCAAUAUCAGGUGGAGAAGACGGAGGGGCUUUCUCUGCGUGCUUGACAACAAAACUAUUGACAAGAAUAUCAGUUCCUGCUGGUGGACCUUCUAAAUAAACGACUACUUUGGAUGGGGAUCCGUUUAAAAGGAAUUUCCCCUUCAACUGCGCCCAAUCCUUGUCUGUUGCCUGUACACUUUAGAUCAAACCAACUUCCAGUAAGGGAAGGGAUAUAUUUUGUGAUCUAACUAGUGUACUGUAAUUUGACAUAGUAAUAAAAUACAAUUCUAUAGUUAUUGAAGAGACAAAUAUAUCAAAAUCUGAUAGGAAAGAGAUAUAGAGAAAGUCAGUUACUUAGAAAUGCCGAUAUACUGUUCACGACCAUUCGGUGACUGCACCCAUAAGGUAGCCCGUACAUCAGAACUAGUGACAUUGUUUCCAAAUAUCCGGACAACAGCAGUAGCCUCAUAAGCUAGCUUUCGCUGCACUCUACCAGUAAUAUCCUGCUGAAUGCCAUUCCAGCUCUGUGUUCGUUGUGUUGCAGCAGCAAAAACUUUUCCAGAUUGAGGGACAAUUUUCCCAUCUCCCAUCGAGUCGUGUAGAACAACUUGGCAGCCUCUUCCAGUCCAAUUAGUCAAGCCAUCCUCGAAGUUUGGGUUUAGAACUAUGUCUUGAUCUCCAGCAAUGGCAAUUCCGUGCUGGAUAUGAGGAUAAUUUAGAAACGAUAAUAAUUAAUCAUUAACAAGUAGAAUUUAUAUACGAGGAGAGGCAGAAGAAAAUAACUUUUGCUUAUCAAUAGAACUAACAUUAGCUGUGUACUUCUUGCUUAUAGCUACACGUCUACUCUUAUAUCAUGAUACAAUAGACCAAAGUCAUUCAAAGGGAAACAAAAAGGAAUUAGAAUGAGUACCCGCCGUUCCUUUGGACUGGAACAAGUGAUGACUACAGAUUGUAUAAGCAAGUCAAUACCAGGAGAAGGCCCUUCCAAGUAAAACACAACCUUAUCAGGCAUUGUUGACAGCGUAAAUUUGCCUUCCAACUUUUCCCAUUUCCCAUUCGAUACAGAACUUCUGCAGGGGUAAUUGCAACUAUUAAAAACAAGUUCUUUCUUUCAUAAAGAACACAAAAAUCCAACUAAUAGAAACAAAGAAAACACAUUUACCUCCCCACCAAUGAAUACUUAGUUUCUGAACCUUGGCAUUCCAUUUUCACUGUUGCCAGGACAUCCACACAUCCCUCAAGAGGUCCUGAGACCCCAACAGAAGCCGAAACCAAGUAAGUGGAACCAGGGGACACUCUCCCAGUGAUAUCCUGCUCCAAUCCUUGCCAGCAUUCUUUCCGAUUGGUGACAACCGCGUAAUUGCCACCCGAAUUUGCUUGUGGGUGGCCAGAAUCAGCUGAAACUACAUAGCCCUCACAGCAAUUGGGGUGCCAUGAGUGCAGCCCUCCACAGAAAUCAUGGUUCACAAUGAUAUUGGUACCACGAAUACUAGAAUUUACCAUAUCUUGAUUCACACUCUGCACAAGUUUAAUCAUGGAUAAUUAAACUCAAGUUUGAUGCUUUCUUAAACCCCUCAUUAUCAUUUCAAGCUAUCAAAACCCCAACAAGCAAAAACAAAAAUCAAACACAUCCGAUUCUGCAAUAUAAAAUAGAAAGUAAACCCAAUGCCAAAGAAAGAACCAACCUUUGUACCGUCGGCGGCAUUUUCAGUCUUUUGAUUCUCCAUGUCUCCUUCGGAUCUCUGUCCCAACACCAACACCAAAACCCACAAAAACCAAAUGAAAAUGUGUUCUGAUUAAUCAAAUAAAUAGCGACUACAUUUUGCUCAAUAACAUAGAAAAAGAGAAGCCAAUGAGUACCUGAGGAUGGUUUUGGUUUUGCUUAUGCUUAAAACGAUUGCAGCACAAGGCUAAGAGCCUCCUCAUUUAUAGACACUACCAUAUACACAAGCACUGGCAACACUUAAAACCCCAACUGAAUUUUACGGGUGAAGUACACGAAAAGCGCGGGGCCAACCAACUAACCAAUCAGCCUCUCUCAAACUCUUUUAACAUCCUUAAAAGCAACUAACGACUCUCUUUCCCAAUAUGAUCAGAAUGUUUGUGUUCCUGGUUUUCUGGGGAAGUGGGAAGGACAAAGCUCCAAGCUUUGUGUUUGGGUUUUGCUUUGUUUUGCAGAUUGGUAAUGCUUGAAUUGGAAUGGACGCUCUACAAGUUUUGUUUAUGAUUCCUUGCUUGAUAGACUUUGAUUGCAAUACAGAUGAUGUUAUUGGAUCCAUGGGAAUUAGGUGAGACUGGGCUUUCAUAGGUUCAGGUUACCUAGUAUUUAUAUGGAACGUACCCAACUUUGAAUUUUGUCCCAAGAACCAACGAGUCAAAGAACAGAGCUCUGCAUCUAACCUUGCCGGUAGAUUUCGUGGCAGAGUUGUAUCAGUAAUGAGACCGUUCUGACCUUUUGGGCUUGUUCUCUCUCUUUCAGAAACCAAUGUUCUCUGAAGGAUGUGAGCCCAAAUUUCUUUUUCUUCUUUUGGUGAGAAGGUUGAGCCCGGUUAAAUAGCCCAAUUGUUAUUUUCUGAUUUUCUUUUUUUCAUUUCCUCGACUUGAACGAAUGAUUUGAAUUUUAGACCUCUAGUAUAGAAAACUUGACUAAAUUCCAACCGGCGAUAUUGAUGCUAUUCAUCGUGAAAUUUUGAACCACUUUCAUGUAAGAAAGGUAAAAUAAGUCUAACCUACUUUACAUUAACGCAAUAGAGGUCACACGACAAUAGUUAUAGAGUAACACGUGCUUGCCAUACCGUGCAACCCUGGGGGAUGACCCUGCAGCCUCAUGUGGCUAACCUUGAUUGUCUUUUGCAAAGUUUACCGAAUAAUGAUAGAAUUCAUUGUAAAUGUUAAAUAGGUGGUGUAAGAUUUUGAUAGUAGGAGGCUUUUGAUGACUAAAAGUUACAAGUAAGAACCUCCACACUAAUCCUUUGCUUUAUAUUUGGAAUUAAUAUAUGAUUUUGUUCCAUACAACAGUGACAUGGACUAAACACGAGGCCCUAAAACACGGCCCGAUGAGAUUUGUCUUCUAUAAUUCUAUAAACCCCACUAAAUCACAAUUAUAUGGUAAACUUGACUAUCUUAAGUUGCAACUUGCACCAAAAGGGAUGGGAUUAAGGAAAUGAUUAUCCACUUAUGCAAGUUAACAUCACUAGUUCCAAAAGCAUGACCUUUUGCAUAUAUUCAAUGGAAAUAACAAUGGGUAGUGCUCCUUUAACCAUUUUAGAGGUAAUUAAAUCACUUUAAUCCAUAUAACUUCUCAAUAUUAUAAACCUAUUUGCUAUUUUUUUAUUACCUUUAUUCCAAACAAAUCAGGUGGUCGCAAAUGCUAUAUGGACAAGACCUCCCAUGGUUUUAGGCAUUUUGUUGAAUGUAUGUAACGAGGGAUGAUCCAAGGUUGACUUAAAGAUACUUUCUGAAAAUUCGUAAGCAAUGAACACAAUAACUCGAAAUUGAAAUACAAGAUUUGGUUGAUAUUAUUAAAAACCGAAUUUUUUUUAUAGAAAAUGACAUCCCACUACCAUAGAUAGUUGUAAAACACAGAAAAACCAACAUUCAACAAAUUUAAACAAAUAAGGACAUAAGCCCAAGCCCACAAGGCAUAGUCCCACGCCUUGUCAGCAAUUUUUAAGUUAAAAUACCUAAAAAACCAAUCUUUUCUAAAAAAAACUACAAAACUGUCCUGACUAAAAAUAUCUUCUCUCUCUGAUCUGUUAUACUCUCUCUCUCUCUCUGCACACCACACAACGUCGAUCGAAUCCGCCGUAAUUGCUAGAUCGACCUCAUCGAUCGUCUCCGCCGCCUGCUAGAUCGACUCAGCCACCUGCACCUCGCCGAUCGACUCCGCCGCUGCUAGAUCGACGCCGCUGUUAUGAGCUAGGGUUCCGAUUGGGACGAUAUUCCCGAUUCGUGUCCUCAGGUGAGAUUGGGAAUUGACAUGUUGAUAAGGAAUGCGAAUUCGUUCCGAUCUUGAAGCUAGGGAACUAAUCAAAGCUCAGAGAAAUGGGCGUGGACUCCUCGAUGGCGCCGGAGGCCGAUCACGAUCCGGCUGUACAGAACCAGAGCACGACGGCGGUGGAUGGGGGAGAACAGCUAGGAGAACAACAGCCUCAGUCUCCGGCUUCCCCGGCGGCGCAACAGCUUCAGUCUCCGGCGUCGCCGCAGCAGACUCCGGUGGCCGGACCGAGGCAUGCCCCGACGUACUCGGUGGUCAAUGCGAUUUUAGAGAAGAAGGAGGAUGGGCCGGGGCUGAGGUGUGGCCACACGUUGACUGCGGUCGCCGCUGUUGGCGAGGAGGGCAGUCCUGGAUACAUUGGACCCCGGCUGAUUCUGUUCGGCGGUGCCACCGCCCUUUAGGGCAAUUCUGCGGCUUAUGGGACUCCAUCGUCAGCUGGAAGUGCCGGAAUAAGUAUGUUGUUAUCUUAUUGAUGACUUUCAUUUCUUUUGUAGUAUGGAAACACUAGGUGGGGAUUCGAAUCGGAGAGAGAGGUAGGGAGAGAGAGAAAUGGUGUUGGCUUUAAGUGUGAUUAGUGUUGUAUACCUCAUUGUGCAUAAAGAUUAGAUUGGACGACUAGGCAGUAGCAGGAAGAUUUGACGACCAGUGUAGUAACAUGAAGAUUGGACGACCAGACAGUAUAGUAGCAGGAAGAUUGGAUGACAAGACAGUAACAAUAAGAUUUGACGACCAGUGUAGUAGCAGGAAGAUUGGAUGACCAGACAGUGUAGUAGCCGGAAGAUUGGACGACCACACAAUGUAGUAGCAUGAAGAUUAGACGUCCAUGUAGUAGCAAAACAUGCGACUAUAUUAGCUGAGUCACUGAAACCUGCUACUGCACUUACUGAAGCUGCUACUACACUAGCUGAACCAUUUAAACCCUGCUACUACAUCUGUUAGAAUUGUAGCUUUCCAGCAAAACAUGCUACUACAUUAGCUGUGCCAUUGAAAAUCUGGUACUGCACUUACUGAAGCUGCUACUACACUAACUGAACCAUUAAAACUCUGCUACUACAUCUGUUAGAAUUGUAGCUUUCCAGCAAAACAUACUACUACAUUAGCUAAGCCACUGAAAACCUGCUACUACUUCUACUGAGAUGUUAACCUCUGCUACUACUUUUUACUAGAAUGUUAAUCUCUGCUACUACUUCUACUGGAAUUAACUGCUACUACACUAAGUUAUUGAAAACCUGCUACUGUACCAUUUACUGAAAAAUCUCAAAAUGAGAGACUUUUCUCUUCUAAAAGCAUAUUUAAUUAGUAUAGGGUUAGUUUGGUAAAUUAAAACAUAACACAUGGCAUGCAGAAAAAGAUUGUCCUUAAUUGUUAAAAACUGUCAUUAGUUGUUUAACAACAACACAAGUUGAUUUAUUUGUGUUUCAAAUCUUUUUGGAGGAUGUAUAUGUGAUUUGCUAAUUUUUUUAUUGGUAUUUGGUAGCUCAAUUUUAAAAUUAAUAAAUCUAUAAACGAUUCGAACCAACAGAGUGUCAACCUUAUAUAUAUAUUCAUGAUACAACAUUUACGUAACAAAAUAAACUCAAAUGUAUCUUUGCAUGAGAUCAUAAAAUAUCUCAUCAUGUAAGUGAAUGCCCAAUCACGAUGUUCUUGAGAAUCUUUGGAUGCAUAGAUAUCUACACUUUUGAGAAACUAUUCUGUUGCUUCGGGUUACUAUGUGUGCUAUGUGUGCUUUGUUUGUGACCAUUUGAUCGUUCACGAAUUUUAUAUGAGCCUUUUUUUCAGCUAUUUUUGUUAGCUCCUGAGGUACACGGACUUUAAGUGAGGACGAGUGUAUGGUAGCGCCACCUCGGUAGCCAGCCAACCACGUGUAAGCAUCGCCGGAGGCGUCUACACGUGCUGUCCGUACAGAUGUUGUUGGUUUUUCAGAUCACACGUACCAUUACCAUUCCCCACCGUGAUUAUGGAAGUGGGGGGGUCCUACAUUUUUGGCCGACUUGUCAGGCCUUCUCUUUAUUCAAUUUCACCGAAUCAAAAUCAGAUUUCAAUUCGACCCAACCCAAAUCUGCCCAACAUGACUGGUUCACUGGUUUUGUUCAUUUUUCUGGUGGUGACACCAACCUAACGGUCCAAACCAGUGCCACCGCCCGUGAGUUCAUAAAACCCCGAUGGCUUCCUUCAAAGUUAAAAUAAGUCAUAAUCUAACUGGUUGAAAUCUUUAAUGGCUUCUCAAUUCCCAUUGCUCCAUCCUAUAAACCCCACUUUAACUUUAUUAUCUCUACUAUUAUAAAGUAAGGUUAUUAAAAAAUUUAUUAAAUUAUGUUUUGCUUAAAUUAUUUUUAAUGAGUUGAUUAAAAUAACUAACUUAAAAUGUUAUUUUAGUAAAAGAUAAAAAAUUAUGUAUGAAAAAUGGAUAUGGGAAGUUAAGACUUAUAACUGCAACAAAAAUACUUCGACCCAUUAACGUAUUUCAUAAAAAAAAAAAUUACAUAUUAACAACGUCUUCACACACAAGUAUCGCGGGUAUAAAUGUUAGUUCUUAUAAUACGAUAUCAUAAAAAACAUAUCUAACUAUGUUCGGAAAAAUCCAAACUCUCACAUGCAAGGCCAGUAAUGUUGAUAUUUUUCUCCAUAUUUGGAAUUUUCAUAAAGAGUUUUAAUACUAAAGUAUGAUAUACGAAUCUUUACAAAUUUCAGCUUUUAAACAUAAAACUCUAAUCUAAACCGUUGUAUUCAAACAACUCUAACAAAUAUCGAGCGGCGAACAUUUACGAUGAACAUUAUAUGUGCUCGCUCAACAUUAAACAAACCACAACAUUGAAAAUGACUAAUCAACUAAAUUCGUGGCUGAUUAGUUGCUUCAACAGUGUAUUAUCUAUUUUUGAAGGCAGAGUAGGAAUCAAUUUAGCACAUUGCCUCUCCUUUAGAAAUAAUUUGGGUGACCAGCUAUGAUCAUUUAUGGGUGACAAAUACCGAUAAGAGAUGGACAAGUGUCAACAAUAAUUAUAAACAAACAUAUCAAAUACCCAAAAUCCCCUUAUUAUAACCUUAAAUUACAGCUAAACCUUUUAAAAUGGACACGUGUCCCAUGUUUAUUUGUUGUGGUCACCUUACGAUAACAAGGGUUUGUCACCGAAGUCGGAUUCCUCCCCUUUGGUGUCACAAUAUUAUAACCUUAAAUUGCAGCUAAACCUUUUAAAAUUGACACGUGUCCCGUAUUCAUUUGUUGUGAUCACCUUACGAUAAGAAGGACUUGUCACCGAAGUCGGAUUCCUCCCCUCUGUUGUCACAGUUACAACAUCCUGACCAAAACAACGUGCAUACUUCUGGAUGUGUUCGCAAAAACCGAAAAGCGCCUGUACUUGGCUUUAAUUUCUUUUUGUUUGAUCUCAUCUUCUUCUACCUCUUCCACUAUUAGCUGGUAGAUUUAGAUAUUUAUCAAAGAGUUAAUUAAUCGCAGUUACCGCAUAUUAACUCCACCACAGUUAAAUUAAAACCCCACUACGUGACUAUGUGCCCUACCUGGCACUCUCUCUCUCUCUUCCCUCAAAACAGUUUAUAAAUCACAGACUCGCCUUCCUUCCUUUCUCGCAUUUCCACUCUCUCUCCUCUCCUAAACUCCAAACAAAAAUGAUGAUCGGAAACCCGGCCCGAACCCUCAAGGUCGCUCCAUGGGACCCAUUCGACGACCCGACUUCCGCCCUCGGGUCACCCUUCUCUGUUCGCAGCCCCUCCUCCGCCAAUGCCGGCUUCCUCGACUCGCUCUCGGCUCUCCACCGCUUCCUCCCGUCAAACGAGUCCGACUCACCACUCGUCGACGACCCGGACAUGCCUCCUCUCGUCUCCUGCGACCAGUUCCGCAUGUUCGAGUUCAAGGUGCGCCGCUGCGCACGUGGCCGGUCACAUGACUGGACCGAGUGCCCAUAUGCUCAUCCGGGCGAGAAGGCCCGCCGCCGCGACCCGAGGAAGUACCACUACUCGGGUUCGGCCUGCCCCGACUUCCGCAAGGGCAGCUGCGCCAAAGGCGACUCCUGCGAGUUUGCUCAUGGUGUUUUUGAGUGCUGGCUGCACCCGGCGCGUUACCGGACCCAGCCAUGCAAGGACGGGCUGGCCUGUCACCGCCGCGUCUGCUUCUUCGCCCACACGCCGGAACAGCUCCGGGUGCUGCCAGGUCACAGCCCCAGGGCUCAUGGACCGGGUUUUUUCGAUUCGGCCACGUCGCCUCCGAUUUCUCCGCCGUCGGACUCGCCGCCAAUGUCGCCGAACAGCCCGCAACUCCGCCUCAGCACUGUGAAUGAACUCGUGGCGUCCAUGCGCAACUUCAAGCUGGCCAAGAUGCAAAUGAGCAGCACCCCGCCGCCUUCGUGGGUCGGAUCUCCCCGCGGACCUCUGAUCCGACCCGAUUUCUUUAGUCUCCCUUCCACUCCGACCCGCACUCCGGGUCGGUGCGGACCCGGCCCUUUUGAUCUGUGGGAGCACUCGCUGGUGGAAGAGCCGGCGAUGGAGAGGGUGGAGUCCGGGCGGGACCUGAGGGCGAGAAUGUACGCCAAGCUGAGUAAGGAGAACUCGAUGGGCCGGGUUGACCCGACGGGGAUUUCGGGUCCUGAUGUGGAAUGGGUUUCGGAGCUGGUGAGUGAGGGCGAGACCUAAGUUGGAGUUGGUGUGUUUUGCAGUGGGAUUCAUUUUUUGGCUGAUGCGGCGGUCUUUGAUUCUUCUGACUUCAUUUUGCUGUGGAUAUAUUUGCCAGGUUUCAUUUCCUUUGUAAUUCUGGUUCAUUUUCUGUAAAUAGUUGAUGUGAACCAAACUGUGAACAAGGAAGAAGAAGAAACCAAGAAACCCAACAAAAAAAAAAAUUGAAAUUUUGUGUUUUGUAGUUUGUACAGAUCGAACAAAAAAGAAGGAUUUGUUGGGGCCGCCGAUGAAUUUGUAAGCGGUUGCUUUGUUAUUAUUGUAAUUUUCCUGUUUCAUUUUCCUGGGUUUAACUUGUUCUUCAUGGCUUUUAAUAAAUCCAAAGUUUACUUCUUUCAGUUCUGAUGAAUUCUCUUCCAUGGUUUGGUAUUCUCCUCCAUGGUUUGGUUGAGUGGAUAAUCUUUGCCCUAAUUGCCUUGUUGUUUAUCCAUUUAAGGAAAACGAGAUUCAGUCUCUGGGUUUUCAUGGAUUCCAAAUAAAGUAGGGUUUUGUCUUGAAGAAUCCUGCUCGUGAUACCUGGAGUCUUUUCUAAGAUAUUUCUGAAAAUGAAAUGCAAAUCUUAUCCAGAACAAAUGAACAAUGAGCAGCAUUGAGAUUUCAUUUUGAUGCUUCAGUUUUCUACAAGCCUGACAUUAAUUAAUUAAUCUGAGUAUCACUAAAAUGAUAAUUAAAGCAUAAUUUUUUUUUUUUGGGUCUGAUAAAUAAAGCGUGAUGAUUAAAUAGUUAAAGGGGCAAAACCACCACCGCCUGUAGAUUGGUUGGAGUGACGUGGCUAUGAAGCUGAUAAGGUAGUCCUUAUCCAUUGGAAAUCUUUUAAUUUAUCCAAAAUGGUGCCACUUGUUUGACAAUUCUUUUUUCAGGGGUUUAUCUGCAAAAAAGUCAUUAUCUUUGAUGUGAAGGUUUCGACGAGACAUACUAUGAUCUAAAACACUGUAUCUAGUUGAUGAAAGUCACGAAACAAUGUAACAUACACUAUGGUCAAGCACAAGGAACCAAUUGGAGGGACCAUCGAUUUGUAAUCUUUUUAACUCAUUAUCGAUUUCUAAUUUAUCAUUAUAUUGCAUGAGAUAUAGAUAUCUGAUAUGAUCGAUUUUCUGUCUAGUAUAUGGUUUUUCUUUUGUCAUGUAUAACGUUUUUUUUUUUUCUAGUCAUCGAAAAUAGAUAAUGAGUUAAACGCUUUCUUCAAUUUUUUGUCUAGUAUAUGGUUUUUCGUUUGUUCAUGUCAUAACGCUUUCUUUCUCUUGGUCAUCAAAAAUAGAUAAUGAGUUAACGCUUUCUUUCUCUUAAUGUUUAAUGCGAGAGUUUCACACCUAAAUGGGUGUAGGCUCUCUUACUAACUCGACUAUAUGUGUUGGUUUAGUAUAUUGUUAUACUAAUGCUACUGAUUAUUUCUGUUAUACUAGUGACAAAAUGAAACUUAAGGUCACUGGUAAUUUUCAGUGCCAUCAUACCCAGAAAGUUUUUUUUUAUAUCCAGAAAGUUGAUAGACAUAGUAACUUAUGACUGUAUGAACAAUAUUUUUUCAGUAUGUCGCCGAAUUUGUAAAGUAAAUAGAGUAGUCAAUGCAUUUUUUGUUAAAUAGUGCUUGUUAGAAUGUAUAGAUUUUGUAGACUUGCCUAAUAUUAUUUUAGAGUGUUCUUACAAUAUGAGAUUUAAGCACAAUGUCUUCUCUUGUAUUCUGAAGUUUCGUUAAUAGUAACGGUGUGAGGGCCGCCGUUUUACCCUUUUUAUUCAAAAAAUAAUAAUAAAUGAAGUUGGAAGCUUAUGAUGAUUGUGAUUGAGAUUGUGUUGCUAUGAUUUAUGCGGAGCGGAUUCAGUACACCAUGGUGCACUUAAACCAGUCACAUGUGCUAACGGACUCACAAACGAUCGUUAACGACACAAAAAUCAAAACCACAGUAAAAACUGAAUCUUUCAAUCUCUACCAUAACCCAGCCUCUCUCUCCUGUUCAAAAAACCCAGCCUCUCUAGCCACGCCUCCAAAGUUCGACCCCUCCCCAAGACGGAUCUCGGGAGCGCAGGAAAUGGCGGCGCCGUCGUCGCCUCCGCGUCACCGAUCAGAACCGUUUCCUUUUUCCCUUCCACCGUCGCGGCCUCGUCAUCGAGGUCCUCNNNNNNNNNNNNNNNNNNNNNNNNNNNNNNNNNNNNNNNNNNNNNNNNNNNNNNNNNNNNNNNNNNNNNNNNNNNNNNNNNNNNNNNNNNNNNNNNNNNNNNNNNNNNNNNNNNNNNNNNNNNNNNNNNNNNNNNNNNNNNNNNNNNNNNNNNNNNNNNNNNNNNNNNNNNNNNNNNNNNNNNNNNNNNNNNNNNNNNNNNNNNNNNNNNNNNNNNNNNNNNNNNNNNNNNNNNNNNNNNNNNNNNNNNNNNNNNNNNNNNNNNNNNNNNNNNNNNNNNNNNNNNNNNNNNNNNNNNNNNNNNNNNNNNNNNNNNNNNNNNNNNNNNNNNNNNNNNNNNNNNNNNNNNNNNNNNNNNNNNNNNNNNNNNNNNNNNNNNNNNNNNNNNNNNNNNNNNNNNNNNNNNNNNNNNNNNNNNNNNNNNNNNNNNNNNNNNNNNNNNNNNNNNNNNNNNNNNNNNNNNNNNNNNNNNNNNNNNNNNNNNNNNNNNNNNNNNNNNNNNNNNNNNNNNNNNNNNNNNNNNNNNNNNNNNNNNNNNNNNNNNNNNNNNNNNNNNNNNNNNNNNNNNNNNNNNNNNNNNNNNNNNNNNNNNNNNNNNNNNNNNNNNNNNNNNNNNNNNNNNNNNNNNNNNNNNNNNNNNNNNNNNNNNNNNNNNNNNNNNNNNNNNNNNNNNNNNNNNNNNNNNNNNNNNNNNNNNNNNNNNNNNNNNNNNNNNNNNNNNNNNNNNNNNNNNNNNNNNNNNNNNNNNNNNNNNNNNNNNNNNNNNNNNNNNNNNNNNNNNNNNNNNNNNNNNNNNNNNNNNNNNNNNNNNNNNNNNNNNNNNNNNNNNNNNNNNNNNNNNNNNNNNNNNNNNNNNNNNNNNNNNNNNNNNNNNNNNNNNNNNNNNNNNNNNNNNNNNNNNNNNNNNNNNNNNNNNNNNNNNNNNNNNNNNNNNNNNNNNNNNNNNNNNNNNNNNNNNNNNNNNNNNNNNNNNNNNNNNNNNNNNNNNNNNNNNNNNNNNNNNNNNNNNNNNNNNNNNNNNNNNNNNNNNNNNNNNNNNNNNNNNNNNNNNNNNNNNNNNNNNNNNNNNNNNNNNNNNNNNNNNNNNNNNNNNNNNNNNNNNNNNNNNNNNNNNNNNNNNNNNNNNNNNNNNNNNNNNNNNNNNNNNNNNNNNNNNNNNNNNNNNNNNNNNNNNNNNNNNNNNNNNNNNNNNNNNNNNNNNNNNNNNNNNNNNNNNNNNNNNNNNNNNNNNNNNNNNNNNNNNNNNNNNNNNNNNNNNNNNNNNNNNNNNNNNNNNNNNNNNNNNNNNNNNNNNNNNNNNNNNNNNNNNNNNNNNNNNNNNNNNNNNNNNNNNNNNNNNNNNNNNNNNNNNNNNNNNNNNNNNNNNNNNNNNNNNNNNNNNNNNNNNNNNNNNNNNNNNNNNNNNNNNNNNNNNNNNNNNNNNNNNNNNNNNNNNNNNNNNNNNNNNNNNNNNNNNNNNNNNNNNNNNNNNNNNNNNNNNNNNNNNNNNNNNNNNNNNNNNNNNNNNNNNNNNNNNNNNNNNNNNNNNNNNNNNNNNNNNNNNNNNNNNNNNNNNNNNNNNNNNNNNNNNNNNNNNNNNNNNNNNNNNNNNNNNNNNNNNNNNNNNNNNNNNNNNNNNNNNNNNNNNNNNNNNNNNNNNNNNNNNNNNNNNNNNNNNNNNNNNNNNNNNNNNNNNNNNNNNNNNNNNNNNNNNNNNNNNNNNNNNNNNNNNNNNNNNNNNNNNNNNNNNNNNNNNNNNNNNNNNNNNNNNNNNNNNNNNNNNNNNNNNNNNNNNNNNNNNNNNNNNNNNNNNNNNNNNNNNNNNNNNNNNNNNNNNNNNNNNNNNNNNNNNNNNNNNNNNNNNNNNNNNNNNNNNNNNNNNNNNNNNNNNNNNNNNNNNNNNNNNNNNNNNNNNNNNNNNNNNNNNNNNNNNNNNNNNNNNNNNNNNNNNNNNNNNNNNNNNNNNNNNNNNNNNNNNNNNNNNNNNNNNNNNNNNNNNNNNNNNNNNNNNNNNNNNNNNNNNNNNNNNNNNNNNNNNNNNNNNNNNNNNNNNNNNNNNNNNNNNNNNNNNNNNNNNNNNNNNNNNNNNNNNNNNNNNNNNNNNNNNNNNNNNNNNNNNNNNNNNNNNNNNNNNNNNNNNNNNNNNNNNNNNNNNNNNNNNNNNNNNNNNNNNNNNNNNNNNNNNNNNNNNNNNNNNNNNNNNNNNNNNNNNNNNNNNNNNNNNNNNNNNNNNNNNNNNNNNNNNNNNNNNNNNNNNNNNNNNNNNNNNNNNNNNNNNNNNNNNNNNNNNNNNNNNNNNNNNNNNNNNNNNNNNNNNNNNNNNNNNNNNNNNNNNNNNNNNNNNNNNNNNNNNNNNNNNNNNNNNNNNNNNNNNNNNNNNNNNNNNNNNNNNNNNNNNNNNNNNNNNNNNNNNNNNNNNNNNNNNNNNNNNNNNNNNNNNNNNNNNNNNNNNNNNNNNNNNNNNNNNNNNNNNNNNNNNNNNNNNNNNNNNNNNNNNNNNNNNNNNNNNNNNNNNNNNNNNNNNNNNNNNNNNNNNNNNNNNNNNNNNNNNNNNNNNNNNNNNNNNGUGGACCGAUGGUUUGAAUUUACAUGCCAUACAUUACAAGAUUCUCUUACAAGAUUGAUAUUUGGUGAUCGCUCCAAAAUGUUCUUACUUCAUCUUGAUUCUUGAUGGUUCAAGCAGUGCUACCUGAACGCAGAACAUUGUGGUAUGCUAGUCCUUGGGUACGCCGUGUGUUGGAAUAAUUAGUUAAUUUUAAUAAAUUAUUUAUGAUGAAUACUAUAAUAAAUAGAUAAUCACACAUAAUCUUAAUUCUAAUAGCAAAUUUUACACGUCUAUCCCUUAUUGCUUUUUGAACAGAAAACUAAAGAAGGAUAAAAGCCUAAAAUGUCUCACUAUGUAUCAAAAAAGGAAAACAAAAAAAGAUAAAAAAAAAAAAAAUUCAAACAUCGUACAGAUGUAAAUCUUUCCAAAAAAAAAGAAGGGUAAUCACAAAUAUUUACCUUAUUCUAUGUACUUUUACCAUGAUGACUGACAUUUUUUUGUCUUAAUUAUUGUUAACGGUGUUAAUAUCGGUGUUAGUGUCAUGUAGUGGACUAAAUUAAAUGAAUGAUUGUGAUUGGUCAGUUAUAGUUGGUUCACAUGAACCUUGGUGCAUACAAGAACUUUCGUGAUUUAUAAAGAAUUAAUCAGAGAAGAGAUAGGAUUAAGACGAGUAAUUAUAAAGAAUGGAAAAUGGGGGGACAAAGUGGACGGUGAUUCCAAAGGUUUGGUUGAGUUUGUCGUCGUCUCGGAACUUUACUUUGGUGGAAGGUGGGAGGAAUAAUCCGGUUCCGGCGUGCUCAUCUUCAGUGUGUGGGUCUACCUAUUUAAAUCAAAAGCUUCCAUCACAGAGGCACUUGAGAACGGUGGCAUUUGCCUUUGUUUGGUUAUAAACUUGUACGUAAGAUGAUGCCAAUUAACCAGAUCUCAAAAUAACUACUAUCUAAUCUGCUUCAAAAUAUGAAACAUAAACGUUAACUUGUGAGUGAAUCAGUUACAUUCAUUUGGUCAUUAACUGACAAUGAUAUUUAUGUUCAACGACCACUUUAGAUGUAAAUAUAAUAAUAGAGAUAAUUAUUAUCAAGUAAAAUUGUUUUGUUUUGUUUUGUUUUCAAUUAUUAUUAGAUGUAGAUCUACAGAUGAUUGAUCAUGAAUCUUUUGGUCAGUUAGUAACCGGAUUAACACUACUGGCGAAUAGAUAUAGUUCUUCAAGUUGUUACUCUUCUUUUUCCUGAAAGCCUCAAAUGGUAUUUGAGUAAUUAUAGACUUGUAGAACCUUGUAUCUAAUCUAAAAUAGCAUACAAUCUACUUCACUCUUUUACGAGACUAUGAAUUAAAAUUUGCAUAUUCUCUCAUUUCACAAUGAAAGUUUACACUCAAUACAUUACCUAUAGCAAAAUAUUAGUUUGAAAAUUUACAUUUUACGGUGUAGUAACAAGACAAAUUUCCCUUCAUAGUAAUUGUCUUUACAUCUUUGGACACCACGCUUAGUAGUGCGCAAGUCAUUGACUCGUAAUGUGGAUAGACAUACAAGUAAACCCAUCUUUGGACCCAUAUUUCCCUGAGGAUACAUAGUCGCUAUCUGCAUUUGGUUCAAAAUCUAUGAUGCCAAUCUUUGGCAACACUGCAGCUCGUGACAUAUAAUAAUAGUACGCUAAUGUUAACAUUCUUGGCGAGGAGGAGGUGUUGCAGUACAGAGUGAUCGAUGUGGACUUAACAGGAGCUCUUAUCUACAAAACAUGGUUAUCCAUAUCUCUCUGUCAUAUACGAAAAUGUUUGGUGCUAAAGUUGGUAGUUAGCGUAGAAUACACAUUAAUGAUAUUAUCAUCGUUGAUAAGUGACCAUAGAUCAACCCAAUCAAAGUUAAUAACAAUGUCUAUCGAAAUAUGCAUUAGAUGGUAUUGUUUGUCCAUUAUAAAAGUUCAGAAAACACGUGUUUUGAAAUUUUAUGAAGCCAUUCUAACGAGGACCCUUAAGUUGAGGAUUUGUUGAGGACUUGUUGAGGACUUUUCGAUCUUAUAUGUAUAUCUUGAUCUUUCAGUUUAUAGGUAUUUAUGAGUAGAUCAUUUAUGUAAAUUUUCAGCCAUAUUGAAAAUCGUUAAGACAUUCAUAAGUGCGAUUUACCAAUUAUGAACUUGAACGGUUCAUGUUUGAUAGAUUUGGUUCGUCCAUUAAUUUGAUCUAGUUUGUUACCUUAACGAUCACCGAUUUGGCUGAAAAUUUGUAGGGUUGAUCUACACAUAUAGACCUAAAAACUGAACGGAUGAGAUGACAAAAUAUGAUCGAAAAAUAUGUCUUUUAAACCAUAAAGCGAAAAGUCCUCAACUUAAAGGUCCUCAAUAAAAAGGCUCCUGAAAUUUUAUAUGGCCAGAAGGAUAUAUAUAUAUAUAUAUAUGUUUAUUGUCAUUAUCACCUUUUCAAAGUGUAUGAUAGAACACAAAGUGUAUGUAGAGUUGAAAAUUUUGCUUAUUUUUUUUUUUUUCAAAAUCCACGUGUUUUAACAAGCACGGCUACUCGGGCAGGACAAUGAACACACUCCAUUUAGCUGAAGGUUUCAUUCAUUAUUGUUCAUUACUUGUAUGAUUUUGUUGUUUAUAAUCUAUGAUAUUGUUCAUUAAAGAGGGUAUAACCUUCCCGUUGUAGUUGUUUGUUUGUUUAUCGGAUCAAUGACUCAAAUAUAGCCUGUAUCUUGGGAAUCGAAUUCACGCCCUCAACAAAAAACUUAUACCACUUAACAAAGGCAAAAGCUGGAAUACACCCCCAAAUUCUAACGCCGAAGGCACCGUCAAAAUGGAAGGAAACAACAGUUUUCACAAAGUAAUUUCAAACCCACUGUAGCUUUUAACCCACUGCACAAGUUGUAAAGUUGUAAACUCACUGGCUCAUCUCCUCAAAGCCAUUCAACCACUUCAAAGUUUCAAACACAACCACUACUCCACCGGUUGCCAAGAAUCCCACACCAUCAAUUCAUCACUUGUUUAUCUCAGAAUGCAUCCCUCAUCCAAAUUUUGAACAGCCCAUCCUUAUAGCUAUAUAUAGGCAGCGACGAGAGCAAGGAGCUCAUCGUUGCUUCGUCGAGAGGCACGGUCCGACGACCUCUCCGUCGCGUCUCAAUCGAGAUCGAAAUCGACCGAGUUCCUCAACUGCAUGUCGACUCGAUCGUCAUCUUCUUCGACGAGCCAACCUAUGACCUCGACUCCACCUGCUCCGUCAUGGUCGGCUAGAACCUCCCAGUUGCCGCCCCAACAUGAUGGGAGAGAGGGGAGGAGUAUUGGAGUAGUUUGUUUUGUCAGUAUAUAUGAGAUUUGAUCUAAAUCCCCUUAAACGAGAGAUUUUACUGUUAACGGAGGUUAAGGACGAAAUUUACUUAUUUACCCUUCAAAUUUGAAUUGUAUGGACUAAAUUAUGCCACGUGGUCUGGCCCGCUCCCAGCGUGGCGUAGUCCAGCACUUUCCCUUAACAAAAUGCUAUUCAUCGUUUAGUUUAGUUUUUAUAUUCCAUUUUUCUGAUCUCCAUUAGGCAGGACAAUAGCUCUGUACAUGAGCCCAGCUUUGGUUACGUACUGGGCCUGAGAAGGGUUGGGCUAUGGAUGUUCAAAUUUUGCUUUUGAAGUAAAACAAACGCAGUGAUGGGAAAAGAAAAUAAUGGUGAAAUGGUGAAUGUCUGAAUGACUUGGUGAGGUUACAACUUGCAUGGAAAAAUAUGGAUUCUUUCGAACUAGAAAAAUAAAAAGACAAUACAAAGUCAAAAAGAGGGAAAGAAGCUCCAACCCUCUUGAAGUUUAACCAUUUUCCAGUCCUUUUUUGAAUUUUGUUAGUAUUGUCCAAGCCUGUACAGGUCACUGUCCACGGUGAAUUUGGAUAGUAAAUAAUACAAUGCUUCAAACUUUAUUACUUUAACAGGUUAAGUUGAACCAUUCACUCCAACAAAUGAAUCCCUUGGCAGUGGACCAAUUCCACACUUUCUGACCUAGCUAGCACAUGCACCUUGCCUAUUAUAUACAACUAUGCACCCACAUACUUGAUUUCUAAAGAAAAUUUUGGAUUACGGUUUAGGGUUUCGAACGCAGAUCCAAUCCAUGUUAAUGCGGGUUGGUGUUCUUCCGAUCGUAAUCGACACCGUAUUUUCUGGUGUGGUUUUCGAAUCUUGUCAACUCAAAACGAAACGAUACCGCAUUGUCAAUUCUCCAUCCUUAUUUCAUCUAGAAUCCUUACAUUAAGAGAUCAACUAAAGACUAAAACAUAAUAUAAUCGCAAUUAUACCAAAAUACAUAUUCACGCGAUUUCCAAAGUUUUUACUGAUCUUUUAACAUGGUGUUUACCCAAAUCUUUGUUGAAGAGGGGCAAAUGAGGGUAACAAAUGAGAAUCUACAGUCAAAAAGUUGACCAAGCCUCUAUCUUAAAAGACAAGAAAACAAGUGUACAAAUAAAAAGGAAAUAAAAAAUGCAGAAGACCGUACAAAGGUCAAUUGUUUCUAUUAUAUUUUAUUACUAUGGUUUUGUCACACUCUUUAUAAAACCCUCCUCCCACCAGAAGCCCCUGUACUGCUUUAAUUUUGGGAGCACCAUUUGCGUGUCUGCAUUUUCUUCCAUCUUCUUCGUCUCUGUGUCUGUUUGCUUUCUGAGAGUGAAGACAGUAAACUAAGAGAUCGAGUUAUUCACCAUGGGAAGAGCUCCAUGUUGUGACAAAGCUAAUGUCAAGAAAGGCCAAUGGUCUCCUGAGGAAGAUGAAGCUCUCAAGACUUACCUUGAGACUCAUGGAAGUGGUGGCAAUUGGAUUCAUCUGCCUCAAAAAGCUGGUAAAUUUAUUAAAGGGUCUUUCUUGGUUUGUUCAUUUUGUUAAGAAUUUCCGCAACAAGAGUUUGGCUUUAACUCCUUUUUAACAUUUGGCCCUGUUGAUGUAGGGCUUAGGAGAUGUGGGAAGAGCUGCCGUCUGCGGUGGUUGAAUUAUCUGAGGCCAGACAUCAAACACGGACACUUCACUGAAGAGGAGGACAACAUUAUUUGUAACCUCUACACCCAAAUGGGAAGCCGGUAAGUUUUUUCGAAAUCUAUGCUAGUUUUGUAGCUAGGUUGCUUAAAAUCUGUAACAUUUGGUUCUGAGUUUGGAUUUUGUACAAUUUAGAUGGUCAUACAUAGCUGCUCAAAUGCCUGGAAGAACAGACAAUGAUGUGAAGAACUAUUGGAACACCAAACUGAAGAAGAAGUACUUUCUGCCUGCAAAACCAAGUCUUACAGCAAAAGAGAGCAAAAACCCAAACGCCUCCCCACUCACACUGCCUUGUGCUCCAAAACUUGAAACCAGUGAUGAGUUUCAGACACAAAUUCAUCCCACAUUGAUGGUAUCUGAUUCUAAUUCUGGAUUGGAUGCCUAUGAUCAGUGCUUAAGCUUGAACCCAAAUCCAUUGUACAACUCCCAGCUCAUGGGUUUUUCACAAUUUGGUGCAACUUCUGUUUCAAUGUCUCAAGAUGGUUCGAGUGUUUCAGAUUCUUCUUCAAUUGCUGCAGUUGACAAUGGUUUACUACAUGGAAAUAACUUUAUAAAUGAGGAUGCUGCUGGGAUAUCAAUGGAUUUUGGAUUUGGAGGAUUGCCUUAUGAUGUUGUCAAUCAGAUGUGGUUUGGAGAAAAAGCCAGUGAAGUUGUUCACCCAACUUGCUCCACAAGUUUAGAUGCUGAUUUCUUUUUCUGCUGAUACUAAAUUCAAGUCGCAAAGACGGAAUCAAAAUGCUUAUCUUCAACCAAUUGACAGUGAAGAAAAAUGGGGAGCAAACACUAAUCAAAUAGCUAGCUAGGGAAGGUCUUCUUUAACCUUUUGUCUUAGUUAUUUUCUUCGGUUCUGUUGAACAUAAUGUAAAUCAAAUUUCAAUGAAUGACUAGUACUGUUGUGAUCAUGAACAAGUAUUCCUCCUUUACUUUGUGUUUCUGUGAAGAUUUUGGAACAUAUUGCUAUUUUGGGUUACAGAAAUUGGGCCAGUUUAAUCUUGAAGCAAAAAAUGAACAUGAUCAAACUUGUGGGAUAUGUGGGGUGCAGAUGGCCUCAGCAUGUUUGCCUUCUUCUUUAUGAGUCACAGCUUCACAGGGGUCAUGAAAGUUUCAUGGAAGAAUUCAAAGCUCUGAGAUUGAACAUGUCCCUCUCAAAUAAUAACCAUAAGAUUCUAUCUGCCCCAUUUUACACCAUUUCAAAGUUUGAGUUCAUCAUCACUGCAUUAUAAUCCACAGGUCACAUUCAGCAACAUCUAAAACUCACUUUUAUACUUUCAUAGUUAUAUGGCAACCUGAAGAAAAGAAAAAGAAAGUAAUAUUUGGAAACAUCAUGGUAAUUUUCAUCCUCUUAUCUUCAUUAAUCAACAAAACGCGUUGCAAAUUGUGAGACCUCUCUGUGCUUUUAAUAAGUCUUAUUGAUGUCAAAUGCUACCGUCUGAAAGCUGCAACUAAAAUAAAAUAUGAAACUUGGAUGUUGUACGGUCAAGUACUCUGUGUUCUUUUUAUUUUAUUUCCCAGAACUCUGUCCCUUCAAUAAUCAAGAGGCAAGUGUUUGUCUUUAACUAAUCUAUUAAGCUUAUAUAAUGAAGAAUGACUUAAGGCCGGGCUUGACCACAAAGUUCUUUCAUGAAGCAUCACUUUGUUACAUGCAUUACUUGGUGCAUAAGCUUUAAGAACUAUAAGUAUAUUUGUAAUCCUACUGCCAUGAACGUACUUAGUUGGUGACAAACGUUAAUUAAGUGUCAGAUAACAACCAUUGACCUAAUUAAGUGUUUUCUUAAUCAGGUCCUGUAUCUUAAUCAAGUCUUGUAUAGGAGCAAAAGAAGGGUGAACACAUUUCACCACACUGAUGUGGCAUUAUGUAAUGUAGGGAUGAAUGUUGCUAUAAUAGAAAGAGCUAUCUCUUUGGAUCUUCAUACUGAGGUUCUUCUUUUCCACAUCUAUUUCAGGAAGAGCAAGUGCAUGGAAAUAGCUGACUGUAAGCUGUUAAGUUCCUAUCAGAAAUGAAAAACAGAAAGAGAACAAGUCUGUAUUCCCCGUUUCUUCUUUCGGUUGUAAUCAAACUAGAAGGAAUUGCAAUCCAUAGGAUAAAAUUAAGAAAACAUUCCCAUUUAUUAACCAGGUUCUUCUUAUGCCAGACAAGUGUUACUCCUAGUCAAAGAAAUAGAUAAACCUUAUGAAUAUCAGCUCUUUUGAUAGUCAAAAAGUGAAAACUAAAACCAGUAACUGCACUUGAAAUACUAGAGGAAAACAAUGCUCAAGUUCUUAUUUUGAGGAAAAAUACUUCAUAAGUUGAUGGACUGAGGUCCCCUAUACUUUUAUGGUUUGCAUUAUUGAAGUAGAGCAUAUUGACAAUUUGCAAGCAUGGUUCACACUUCCCACGCAUCUUACGCUAUUGAUGAGGACAGAUUUGACAUAUAUAAACACCAUGUUCAUUGUUCUACAGUCGUUAACAUUGAAUCCUUCACAUGAUAAGCGUGUGAUAUGUCACAAUCGUGUGCAUCUCUUCCUGCUCCUGCAUGCAUAUUACCCAGUCAAUAUAUGGCUCAAUGAUCUAUUUGACUAUUUCAUGCGACAUCUGCGCUUGUAUGCAUCCAUACAUUUUGAUUUGAAUAUCGAUAUUGAUUCCUCGGCAUAGAUGAUAAACAUAACUCCGCAUGCCAAAGACGAUAAUCAAAACUACACCAUGAUUUCCGCACUGUUUGAACCGAUAAGAGGUUCUCAAAUCUGAAUGCUAGCUCUUUAAAAAAGACAACAUCAACUCAUAAGAGUAUACAGUAUUUGGUCAUUGAGUACUAGUUGACCAAGUAAAUUACAAGUAAAUAGUUAUCUAUACAAUGCGUUCUGAAGUAGUAAUAAAACUUCUCUAGUUAGGCUGCAGACUCCAAGUGGUACAGUAUCAUCAUCAAUAACUCAGUUUAUUAACGUUCUCCCACUGUAUGCUAAUAACUGCACGUAAAGCAACAAAACACAUCAGAUCAAAUGACAUAAAAUAUGAUCACCAGCAGUUUCAUUAAAUCUCAAAAUUACAAGUUCAAGCACCAUUAUUACGAUUUGAGGAGAAAUCUUGGAAAAUCAAGGGUACACAGAACGAUGCUCAAAAUCAACUCAUUCCACAAAUUACGGUUCACUUAAACAAAGAUUGGUAGUCAACAUCCAAAUCUAGAUGCAAGGGUCACACUGUGAAAUGAGUCUUAGCAAGGUAUAAGUUGUAUAUAGUUCCAUAUUUCUAAACGACCGAGAAACUACCCCAAUUCAAUGACAGCUGGAAAAGAUCGGAAUUUCAUCUCAAGUUCUAUGAGAAUUUAGAUUUACUGAGUGCACCAGUUAGUUGAAUGAUUAACUACAGGGGUUUCAUUGUCAAGACAAAAAAUGAUCACCUGGAUAUGGAAUAACCUCUCAAAGGGCCAUCUCUGCCUGUAAUGCAGCGAGCUCAUCUUCCUCACGGUUAAUUCUCUGAGGAGCUGGUCUGGUAGGCUGCCUGCCGACUGGGACAUCUACACUAACUGAAGUUGCAGGAGCAGUUGUGGCGGGUUGGAAAAGCUCAUCCUCCAAUUCAGCAUCUUCCAGUUCUUCAAGCUCUGCUUCCAAUUCAUCCUGAAAAAGUAAAUUUGAAUAGUGUUGGACUAUUGGAUUGCAGAACUGCAUAGAAUCAAAUGCAAAUACUAAUUUUUUUUCAAAUGCAUUACUUCAUCAAAAUCAGCUGCAGCACCAACAGGUGCUGACAGUGCCUCCUGAAUCUGUUUCAUGCUUUCAGUUUGGUCGUUGAUCUCAUCCAUUGUUCUCUCUAAAUCAUCAAUGUUUCUGUACAUAAAAGGAUAAAGCUGAGAAGCAGAAUCAAAUAUUUAAAAUUCAAUGCUUGAUCAGAAAGUAUGUCCAAACACACACUACAAGUGAAGCUCUAAUGUUAUGUGACUGCAUUUAAUGGUAAGAGCCAUCGUCAUUUGUAGAAUGGGAGCAUUGCAUAUGAUAUCAUAAUUUGCGGAUUAGUAUGGCACUGAUGAACCACAUAUGCCAUAAAUUGAACAGAAUGCGGGUCAAAAUGUAACUUACGUUGUCUUGUUCAUGGCCUUCAUUACAGCUGUUCCACUUCUCAAUGCGUCAACCGUUUCUGUUGUAGCGUUUGCACUUUCCAGCAUUAUCAUCUACAAACCCAGUACAAUAUAAGCAUUCAUGCUCAAGUCUCAAUUCUCAAAUAUGACACUUCAUCAGAAUUCAAAGAAAUUCAAUGGUACCUGAUCAUGAAUUCGCAGUUGGAAAUUUCCAAGUUGUUCAAUUUGCUGUUCAUAAAGCUUCUUCCUCUUUAAACACUUUAUUGCCGCUGUAUAGUAGCAACAAAUAGUACAAUUAAAAUGUGGUCAUAACACAAACUCACAGGCACACAUAUGUUUCUUUAACCUACAUUUGUACUUGAGAGAAUCGCAUAUCAAGAUCAUGAUCCGCAACCUUACUCAUAUGGUAAAAUUUAGGCUUAAACAUGCGAUGAAAAUUCCAUUACAAUGCAUUUCAAGAAAAUCAAUAAAAUCAUUCUCAAAAUCCAAAUAAGCUAAUAUGCCAGUUUCUCAAAACAUAUGCUUAUGAUCCGUAACUCAUAGAAAACGAAACAAUCAACACAAAGGGGCCUUACAGCUUCGGUUUUUUGCUUGAGUAAAUUGCUUUGCCUUCUCAACCUCUGCAGCUGCCUUCUUCCCAAGGAGCUUCUCCUUCUUCUCCAGCAUCUCAAGCGUCUACACCAUUAAUCAAUCAAAACCUCAGCAGAUAAAUACAGAUUUUCAACAUAAAUCAUCACCGAUUAGCGAUCACUUAAACUAAAUAGUAAUAAAUUAUAUUAACGCCAACAUCAGUCAAUUAAAACAAUUUCAAUUUCAAAAGGGCAGGCCUUUGAUAAUUUAAAACAUAUUUCUUGAUUAAAUACACAAUCUUCAACUGAGUAAUUACAAAUUGAAAAAGAAAUUGUUUGUACAAAUAUUAAGAGCAGAAAAAAUUAUACCUCAUUCAAUUUGUGCAAGGUUGGCAGGGCUUUAGCAUCCUGCUUGGUCUUCCCGAACACUUUUCGGAACAUUUUUGCUCGAAUUUGAUUUUAGAAACGAGAAAAGCACAAUACUUAUAAACCCUGCAGAAGAAAUCAAACAGUUGAGUUGAUCAGCGACUUUGACCCGCAGCGUUGAAAUAGAAGAAGAACGGUCAAAUUUCCAGGCUUUAUAAAAAAUAAAAAAAUAAAAACAGAUUGAUGAAGCAGAACGCUUGCCUGGGAUUUCGAUACCGGGUCGGUGAUUCGGGUCGGAGCGUUUCGUCUGAGAAAUGAGGAAAGCUGGACUGAUAAAGACUGGAUUGGUAGUUUCUGAAGAAGUUUACCAGAAGGGUGGGUAGUUCCUUUUUUUAUAACGACAAGGGCAGUUGCUGACGGGGCUGUGAGAAAAGAUAGUGUCACAGACGAAUGAACGAUGACUUUACCGUGAUUCUAUUUGCUCGUCGUGUGGAGAAAAGGGACUACGCGGUGUGGCGGUUCAAUUACUCCAUAGCGGUUUAUUGAUCUGCGCAUUUAGGAAUUAAAAUUUGUACUCCUUAUUUAUAUUUUUUUUUCUUCUCUUUUAAUAACUUAAAGUUUGUCUUUAGUAACACGUGUUUUGUUAUUUUAUGAAAACUUUAACAGAAAAUAGAAAAUGUAGAUUGUAAAAUGAGGAGUGAAAUUUACACUCCCGUAUUUUUUAUGCAUUUCAUUUGUGCUUUUAGAUUUGUUGGCUAGUUUUAAUCAUUUAUUUUGUCAAUUUAUAUUGUGUCUCAGUUUUGUUUAGACACGUCUGCUUAAUGCAAACUUAAUAUGUUCUUCGAUUUGUGUAAUAAGGUAUCUUCCAACAUGAAAGAAUGAUGUCGAUUAUACCAAAUAAAGCUCAACUGAGCUUCCUUAAGAAAAAAAAUGUCUUUGCUUACAUAUUACUUCGAUACCGAUACGUUUCUUACCUAAUCAUAUAAUCGAGUUUCAAAUGAAAGCAAAAAUCUACAUGAUUCGUUAUCAUUAAUUUUUUGGGAAAAUGCCCAUUUGCACAAAAACACUAUAAUAAGAGCCUAUUCCAAUGAAAAUCGUUUCAAGCAGCCAAUUCCAACAAAUUUUAUAAAAUUGACUAUAUUGCCCUCGCAUCACUCAACCGUACCUCUCUCUCGGUCCCGAUCUGAAACAAACUCUCUCUCUCUCUNNNNNNNNNNNNNNNNNNNNNNNNNNNNNNNNNNNNNNNNNNNNNNNNNNNNNNNNNNNNNNNNNNNNNNNNNNNNNNNNNNNNNNNNNNNNNNNNNNNNNNNNNNNNNNNNNNNNNNNNNNNNNNNNNNNNNNNNNNNNNNNNNNNNNNNNNNNNNNNNNNNNNNNNNNNNNNNNNNNNNNNNNNNNNNNNNNNNNNNNNNNNNNNNNNNNNNNNNNNNNNNNNNNNNNNNNNNNNNNNNNNNNNNNNNNNNNNNNNNNNNNNNNNNNNNNNNNNNNNNNNNNNNNNNNNNNNNNNNNNNNNNNNNNNNNNNNNNNNNNNNNNNNNCUCUCUCUCUCUCUCUCUCUUGAAGCCGUUUCUCCCAUCGCCGGAAUUGACCAGAUCUCCUUGUCUGCCAGAGUCGUUGCCCUGCCGUCAAGGAGGCCGUCGGUGAAGGCCGAGUGCGCGGGUCUGAUCUGAGGGAAGGAGAGAUUUCUUGAGGUUAGUGGAGAUUUAUGUAUGAGUAGAAGUUGCUGGUAUUCAAUAACUAAUCACUGGGUGUCGGGGUAACUGAUUAUUAGAGAUUACUGGGGUCAGUAACUCGAUUACUAGAGAUCAGUAACAAAUUAUCUGAUUAUUGGGGGUCAGUAACUGAUUAUUGGGGGUUAGUAACCAAGAUUAUUAGGGGUCAGUAACCGAUUAUUGGGGUCAGUAACUAGUUAUUGGGGAUCAGUAACUAGUUAUUGGGGAUCAGUAACUCAGUUAUUGGGGGUCAGUAACUGGUUAAUGAGUGUCAGUAACUAGUUACUAGGGGUCAGUAACUGGUUACUGGAUGUCAAUAAAUAGUCAGUAACUAGUUACUGGGAGUCAGUAACUGGUUAUUAUGGGUCAUUAGUUACAGUGGAAAUUCCAGUGACCGGAGUCCGGCGGUCGGGAAAAUUCUGAUGACUGGAGUCCAGCGGCCGGUGAUUGGAGUCCGGCGGUUGGAAAAAUUCCGGUGACCGGAGUCCGGCGACCGGUGACUAGAGUCCGGUGAGAUUCCGGCCAAGUAUUCUCUUUUUCAUUUUCUCUCUUUAUGCAUAUUUAAGGGGUGCGGGCAAAAUAGUCUUAAAAUAAUAUGGUUUGUUAAGACUUUAGUAAAGAUUUGUGUAUUUAGGCAUAAAAAAUGUUACCUUAUAUUGAAAUGGGCUAAUAAAAAAGAUUGUCAUUAGAAUGAGAAAUGAGGGGUUUAAAUUAAUACUAAAUAGGUAUUUUCCCUAAUUUUUUUCAUCAUUCUUUCUGAAGUAAUUUUUUUUAUCAUCAUAAUGUUGAGUUGUUGACAAUGAUGAACUUGUGCCCCUAAUAAUUCUAAAGAUUUUUUUUUUUAACAAUUCCAGCCAAUAACUCGCAAAACCAAAACUGUAGAAAAAUUCAUUUUUACACUCCGUUUUGGUACGAAAAUAAUUUUAACCCAAAACCAUCACCGCGGAGCUUCGUUGGCUUUACCCUGUGUAAUCCUCUCCUCCUCUCUCUAUCUGUGCACAGUUUUAAAACCACAAAACGAACACCUGAGUCUGCAUCCUUCUUCCUCCUCCUCUAAAUCGCACGCCAAUCAAGAUCUGAAUCUCUUCAUUCCUACUCAAAGGUGCUUCUUCUCUCUCCUUCCUCUCUGUGAUUCCGUCGACUUCAAUCUUCACAAUUCGAUCAGAUCCGUCGCAAUUCUCUGAUCCGAUCCUCUCUGUGCAGAUUCAAUCAUGGAUUUCAUGAAGGUCUUCGAUCAAACUGUCCGGGAAAUGUAAGCUUCGAAUCCUUCCAUUGCGGUUUGAUUUCUAUCGGAUUGUACUUGAAGUUGAAUUUGACAUUGCUCCUUUUUUUCAAUGUGUAGUAAGAGGGAGGUGAAUCUUAAGGUCUUGAAGGUUCCGGAGAUGGAACAGAAGGUAACAAAAUUGAUCUCCUGCGUAUAAUCACAUUCAACAUUUAGGUUUUUCAUUUCGAAUUUCAUUAUGAGAAGAAGUUUAUAAGAUCCGAAAUCGAAUUUCUGUGUACAAGCACUUACUAGUUUGUGUCCUGUAUAGAACUUUGUGACUUUUCGUUUCGAGAUACAUUCAGGCAGAGUGUCUAGCCGUAUUGUUAGGAGAGGUCACUGGAGAAAGUUAUUCAAUUUCCAACUCUUUGUGUGAUUUGCUUUGUUGAUAUUGCCUUUACUUUGAAUACACGAGCUGAAGUGGCUGAUAUGAACAAUAUUCGUGUUUUCCUCGCUUUUUGUUGAAGUGAUUAACUGUGGACUACAUGAAUUUUUCCAUUUUUGGUUUGUGAAUUAUGUGAGUUUGUGUUUAAUGAUAUAACACAGGUACUGGACGCAACGGAUAAUGAGCCUUGGGGCCCGCAUGGCUCUGCAUUGGUGGAGAUCGCACAAGCCACUAAAAAAUUGUUAGUGUUUACUGUAUUUAUCUGGAUUUUUUUUGGCAUAAGCAUUGUUUAAACACUUUCUUUAAUAGCUCUAUGUGGAAUUUAGAAGCAACAUGGUUCACUCUACUUAGACUUGAGGAAUAUUGUCAUCUUUCAGUUCGGAAUGUCAGAUGGUUAUGAAUGUUUUAUGGACAAGAUUGGGUGAGACAGGCAAGGACUGGCGUUAUGUCUAUAAGGUGAGAAACUGAUCGGUACUAUUCAAAUGUGAUGCUUAUUGAUGUUCAUAAUUCUAUAUUCUGGUUCCCUUGGUUCAUGGACUUUUUUAAUCGUUCAACUGAAAUUAUUCCUGUAUCAGUCGUUGGCUGUCAUAGAGUAUCUGGUGUCACAUGGAUCGGAGCGUGCUGUUGAUGAUAUUAUAGAACACACUUUCCAAAUCUCAGUAAGGAAAUCUUUGUGUGUUUUGCGAAAGUAGGUAAACAUUAAGUCAGGAAAUUUGUUGAGUUUGCUUAAAUGCUUAUUUUCUUCUUUGUGUUUUGCUUGUGUAGUCACUCUCAACUUUUGAAUAUGUUGAGCCAAGUGGGAAGGAUUUGGGGAUAAAUGUGAGGAAGAAGGCUGAAAACAUUGUGGCCCUUUUGAAUAACAAAGAUAAAAUACAGGAAAUUAGAAACAAAGCUGCUGCAAACCGGGACAAGUAAGUUAAUUAUUUGAGGACUAAAUUUUCAAGUUUACUAAAACUUAUGGAAUUUUUUUGAUUUGUUUGUCAUCUUAUAAACUAUUAGCACUUUUCCAACUUAGGUACGUUGGACUUUCUUCUACUGGGAUUUCAUACAAGUCAGGUUCAGCCACUUCGUCCUCGUUUAGUGGUGGCAGUUAUGGAGGUUCAAGUGCUGUUGGAUCUGGCGAUAGGUUCAGGGAUAGCUAUAAGGACAGAGAUCAAUAUGAUGAAGACAAGUUUGAGAAGAAAAGCUCAAGUAGGUCACGCCGUGGGGUUACAAGUGAGAAUCGAGAGAGCUCCUCAAAGAAGGGAUAUGGCAGCAGGUAUCUAAACUGAUCAUGAUUGGUUGUAAGUUCUUAGAUACCAGUAUCCUAUAUAUACAAGUAUACAACUUUAACUGAGACCGGAAUAAGGUUAGCUGCACAUAUGACUCGAGACUAAUGCCAUUAUGGAAUAUUGUUACUGAUAAAAAUUUUGAUUAAGUCCCCCCCCCUCCCCUCUCUCUCUCUCUCUCUCUCUCUCACACACACACACACACACACACNNNNNNNNNNNNNNNNNNNNCCAAAUUCAGUAUUUGUUGUCGUGAUAAGUUGGUUGCUUUUGCAAGUUUAUUGAUUCAGAACGCUCGUCUUGCAGGAAGGAUCAGGAUAAUAUUUCAUCCAGUGUGAAAAAAUCAUCAUAUAAGACAAAUGACCGUGAAAAUUACAGUUCAAAUCCGAGUCAGACGGCAAGUGUACUUUCUGAUGAUUAUGAGGACGAUUUUGAUCCACGAGGAACUUCUACUACUAGUACGUAUAUUUGUAUAUGCGUGCAAUUGGUAGCAUAGUGUCAGUUGCUUGUUGGGCAGAUGUUGACAGAAUUGUGCAUUUGUAACAUGUCUCGUAGCUAGAAUCGAUUUGGUGCCAUUUGGGUGUUUGCUCUUAGAUUAAUGAGUAAUCUCGUGAAUGUACUGAUGAUGCUUUCAUUGUUCUUUUCAAAAAAUUUGGUUUCUGAAUUAGAGGCUUUUUCUUCUUUUUAGUGGUUAACAUUUCAUUUUCCUUUACUUUCAACAGAGGCUGCUUCCGGAAGCUCAAACCAAGUGGAUCUUUUUGGACAUAGUUUGAUUGGUGAUCUCAUGGAUGCUCCAGCAUCUGUUCCUGAAGAGGAGCCUGGCAUGAAUAGUGGUUCAGCAGAGGUUGAUCUGUUUGCGGAUGCAGCUUUCAUAUCAGCACCACCACAGGCAGAAACUGAUUCAUUUGCAGACGCAACUUUUGUAUCAGCACCACCCCAGAAAGCAACUGGAGCAAGUUCUCAAACUCAGGUCAGAUGCUCUUACAUCUCGGUUUUCUAAACGUAGCUAGUGUUCACCAAAUGUCAUUAAGGGUUGUUAUAAAGUGUCAUUUAGUCAGUCAUAUGCUUGAAUUUUGAUAUUAGUUCUGUAGUCCAUUGUCGUGGGACUAUAGCUGUCUUUUGAGGUAGUUGUAUAUGUUAAUUAUGAAUAACCUUACAUUAAUUUAAUUUCAUGAUUUUGUUUUGAUCACUUUAGCAUCGGGUUGACAGAGUGUGCAUGGUGCCACUGUUUUUGAAAUUAUAGUUUAGCUUUUGGUACAGAACAAUAAAAAAGAUGGGUAUGGGUAAUGGGUAAACAUAGUCAAGCCCGCUGCUUACUGGGGGAAGAUGCGAUAUAUCCUAAUUUGGUAGUGUUUAAGCACUUUGAAAAGAUUUUGCAUGAUUUGAAAUUAAUGAGGACCUGAUUUCAGAUAUUUCUAUGUAAAAAAAAUUUGUAUUUCUCAAACUGGUUCCAGACUUUUGUGCUUACAUAGUUUUAACAAUUUUUACAGAAUGGUUUUGAUCUAUUUGCUUCCCAACCAACCAUUUCUCAGUCAGCUUCUUCACCAAUUGACCUCUUUGCGUCCCCUGUCCCGGUUAUGCAGCCAGAAACAAAGUCCACAAGUCCAGCACCAAUGAACACCAACAUUGUUGAUCCCUUUGCUGCUGUUCCAAUGAACAGUUUUGAUGGAUCUGAUUUCUUGGGGGGAUUCACCUCUAACUCUGGUUCAACAUUUUCAGAACCUUCUCAAAUUUCUGGCAAUGCUGCCAGCCACAGUAGUUUGGAUAGGAAAUCUUCAGCCGACUCAAAGACACCACCCAAGAAGGAUAGUUUACAGGUGAAAUCUGGCAUUUGGGCCGAUUCACUUAGCCGUGGACUGAUUGAUCUUAAUAUAACUGGCCGUAAGUAUAUCCAUAUAACUGUCCGCAGCAUAAUGUAUUUGUUGUUUUUACCUUCAUGCUUGUUUAGGUUGCUCCUGUAAUUCUCCUUUCACUUCAUGUUCUUGUAGCCAAGAAGGUGAAUCUGGCGGAUGUGGGGAUUGUGGGUGGAUUGACUGACGGAGCAGAUGAAAGGGAGAAAGGCCCCCCAACUUCAUUUAACAUGGGUAGAGCAAUGGGAUCAGGGAUGGGCCUCGGAAAGUCUGGAUAUCAGGGAGCUGGAGAUGAUGACUUCUUCUCGAGUCUCAGUAGCGGUCAACAAUACUCAUAUGGUGGUUUCCAAAAGUAGUGGUGAGAAACAUUUUUGGAGUCUACAUAUUCUUUUGCCCGGGCCAAAAAAUUUGUCAUUCUUGUCUUUUGGUGUGUGCUUAGUGUGUUAAUUACCCUCAAUCAACGGAUGUUGGGAUUUGAGGAAUGUAUUAAUCGCGGAUGAAGAUGUUGAUAGCUUUCCAAUAUAAAUUUCAGUGGAUGACAUAAAAUAUGUAAUUUGAGAUAUCAACAAAGUUGGUCCAUUGAGGAUUUGUUGUCCUCAGUUUGAUCGUUACAUCCUAUCAAUGAAUGAUGAGAUUCAAGCAACACAUCUAUUGGCUGACCGCAGAAUCUUGUGCACUUAAAUUGAAUUUGCAAUUAUGUUCUUAUUCAUUUCCAACUGAUUCCGGUCACUAGUAGUCUAGUACUAAUUUUGUUGAUGAACCGAUUUUUCCUACCAAUUUACUACCCAAUAGGAUAAAAAAUCAAUAAUCAAACACGAAGAAAAUCAUCUCAAAUCCUCAAAUCUUUUUAUUAUUUAUUUUUAGGAAAAGGUUGAUCGGACAAUAGAUUGUAUGUUUUUCUUAGUACAUGUCCAGCAUCCUUCCCCUUAACAUGGCUUCUGCUUUCCUCACCUGCUUCACUGGUCCUAUGAUGAACACCUACAUCAAAAACCAAAUAAAUAAAUCUCAGCUGACCCGGUUGUUUUGGUUUUCUUUGGGGUUGAUUGAGGUAAAAGCCAAUCAACUUUGAUGAAUUAUAUGCAUUGGUGAAACUGUUCAUAGUGAACUGACCUUGUCUGGUGGGCCCUUAUCACCUCCCAUGAGAAUUUCGGCACUGUAAAAUUGAUUCAACCAAAGUAAAUAAGCAGGGGACGGUACAUUUAAAUCCGAACACAAACAGGAAAUGGAACAAACACUCAGUUCAGACACUAUGGAUAGAUAUAUACUCGCAAGAUUCUUUUAUUGACAGAAUGGAAGCCCCUCUUUUCCCAAUUACACGUCCCAUUUUUCCUGGGGGAACAUCAAGAACCGAAAGGAUUUCUUCCUCAGGCGCACUGCCAUCCACUAGUAGGUCAUCUGCAGGAAAAAUUAACAAAUGAGUAUCAAAUUAUUGCAGACUCCAAAGUGCUCCAAUGUUAUAACUACUGUUAGCAGGCUACAGAGCUAGUUGGGUGAUUAGUGGUCCAAUGUAUAUACAACCAGAACAUGCAAUAAGUUUGGCAGGCUAGAAAUCUAGUUCAGAUGAUUAUAAUCUGUCAAAUAUUAGCGUACAAAGAGUGAUGGUCGGCAAGAACACAAUGCUCGGUUGAAGUUAAUUGGGCUAGAAUUAUGUACCUUUUACCAUUUCUGAGUCAUAUGCAUGUAAACAAUUCAAAUCUAAGUCUUAGAAUACUUUAAAUAUAGUCAAAAGGAGGAUCCAAGACCUGGAAUGGUAGGGAGAGGUGGCCAGUCAGAAAAAUCAUUAUUGGUGAUGCAAAAACAUCGACAAUAAAGUGCACCACGAACUGCAAGAUACCAUAAUGACUGUUGAUUCAAUUUCCCCAUCAUCCUGUUAUAGAUGUAUGGAAGAAAGCGGACAUCAUCUGCAGCCGCACGAACCAUCUGUUCAGAUAAAGGUCUGUACGUCCAAAAGUUGGGGUCCUGUACGGUACAUGUACAGGUAAAUGUCAUUUCACAGAAGUAUCAGUUCAAAACAAUAUAACCUCCGCCUGCAAUGGGAUAAUUACAGGUCUGGAUUCGAAUUUAUCUAAAAUCAUUAAGAUGGGUCUAAGGCAUAAUGUGUUAACCAAAUAUACAGACUUAAAUUAUCUGGUUGAUGUCUUGUUAAUAAUACUCAUAGAGCAAAACCACCAUAAAAUUAUUCUAAAUAUUGUUUUCGUCAGGUUGUAUUCUCAUACCUGUUACCUAAGCUACUAGUGUAGUAUCAGCUACCACUAAUAAGAAGGUACUUCCAACUUCUUUAUAUGUAAAAUCAAAACAUAUACUAACCUGCCUAAGAAGAAACCGGACUUCUUCCUUCUCGAGAUAAGGUACUCCUACAUUACAAGUAUCAAAGUGAAAACUGAAGCCGCAGUGAAUAGAUCAAAAUUGAGAGUACGAUGCACAUGCACCCAUGCCUCAUAAGUUGUCCAGAAAAGCAGAAAACAUUUAGCAAGGCGGAACAUAAUAUAAGGAACCAAUACUUCAAACAUGGAAUUCUGACCAAAUUCUUCUAUAGAUUUAAGUGGACACCCUCUGAAAUCAUAAGAAUUAAGAUCAAAGUAGAAAACAAAAAUAGAUACCACAAAAUAUAUAUACCACAAUAACGUGGAUCAGCGAGGAGGCCAACGAACGAUAUAUAAUCAUCUGGUAAUCUCUUCCGACCUUCUUGCUCUUCUAUCAGCGCAUAAGCAAUCUGAACACCAGGAAAGGCAAUUUCAAAACACUUGGUACAAGAACAUUAUCUCUGCACUCAUAGUAUGCAACUCCCAACUACCAUUGUUGCUAACAAGCGAACAAAAAUAGAGAAAGAGCCCCUUACAAAUGAAUGCUAUUCUGUCAACAAUCUUUCAAAAGCUCUGGCAACAAUAAAGGGUACUCACCUGGGUAUCUACAACAUUGUUCAACUUGAUGCCGAACUGAAAAUACAAGGCCUAUAAAACAGGACCAACAACUCAAUAAAGGCAAUGGAGGCAUUUACUACAAUAUGCUACAUGCUGGGUUGCAGAUAAAAACCUCACUGUCUCGCUUGCAGUCGUGAAUAACUUUUGUGACAUGGCUAGACUCCAGUGCAGGCUUACAGGCUUGUAUUAGCAUCUUCCCUCCCUCAAUGGCAUCCACCAGAUAUAUAGCAUCUGGAAAUGCAAGCUGGCAAAAUAAAAAAAAAAACACUUCAGCAUUUCAGCAUAAAAAAGUAGAACACCAUACUAAAAAGAACCAAAACUAUAUGUUAUAUACACUACACGAAAAUUCAAGCACCCCCAAUUCGGAAAAAAGACGAAACUUCACUGCUUCUUUUAGUACUUCCUUCAGCAAUGUUGAUACCCAAGUUUAGAAUUCAGACUAGACACACAUCCAAUAAAUAGGGUUGGUUGAAACAUUUACUCCGAAAAGUAGACACACAAAAGUAUGAUCAUACUGCAUUAUAUACCUGCAUGAUACAGAGAGUUCCAUUUCGACACAGGUCGACACCCUCGCAGUCAAACCCAAUCACCAAGGGCCUUUCAGCACAAGGCUCCAGAAACUCAGCAGGAAGCUGAGACGCAUGCGUCACUAUCUGAAUAGGCACCCAUGGAAACUGGGCUUCAUGUAUUAGUGGCCUUUCACCUACAACACAUUAACAUUGAAAAUUGCAAACCACAAAAAACAAAGACGGAAAAUUUAAAGCAGAAAGAAUGAAAAGGGAUGGUGGAAUCGGAUCGGACCUGGGUCCGGCGAAAGAGGAAGGUAGGGAGAAGGUAAAGAAGCCAUGUGAUCGGACCAUCCACGCCCUCUGAACGACUGCAAACCAAAACCUUUCACUUCAUUUUUCUUUUUUCACUUUUUAUGCAAACACUAAAAAUAAAUUGACUUUUGCGAUUUAAAUGUUGUCUAUCCAAUUCGGGAAAAUGUCAGGAACCGUUACCGACCCGGAAACCCGUUUUCCUUUUUCCGGGUCGACAGCUCUACUGGAAUUUAGCGAUAAAGUAUCUAAGAGGCGGACCCACAGGAAAAUGGAAUUGUCGGAUUCAUCGAAAUAGUGAGGUGUGACGACGGCGAAUUUUACCGGAUCUCAGACUUUACUCUCCGUUGCUUUGUUGAGCUGUUCACCAUUUUGGGUCUAUUUUUUUAUUUACAGGUGGCGGGUUUUGGGAGGUGCACGUAGGACUCAAAAAGUGCAAGGCUGAAGGUAAUACACGUGCGUCGUUUAUAGGCUAGUUUGGUCAAUUUGCCUUUUCUACCUUUUCCAAAAUAUUCCAAGAUAAUGAACAUGUAUAGAGGAACAUGAAGGCAAAAUUUGGAGGAUAGAGAGGUCGGAGAAGGGCUAGUUGUAACACAAUUGAUUUGUUUUCUAACUCUAGUAAGAUCGUGUAAUGCACGUCAAGAAACCGUUCAAGUCUGGUAAGAAAUGAAGUAUAAUCGCGGACAGUUUUAAAAUAUUAUGAUGAUCGAGAGACAAAUGCAGCUCAACCAUAAAACAUAAAUAAUAUAAACUUAAAACAAUGUAUUUAUUUUCAGCCAAAUUAUGUUUGAUCACUCAAAAAUCUAGAUAUUAAAGAUUGAGUGAAACUUUCAUAGUUAAUGUCUUAGUAAAAUUUAUGAUACUAAUAUUUGAAGCCAAAAAUGAAGUUUUGUUCUCAAUCCUUCUGGAAACUCCAGUAAUGAUGAUAUAUUUGUUUGUUUGACCAUGAAACCAGAGAGCUAAUGGGUGAGAGUGACUCGAGUCCAAUUAUGUACAGACAGAGUAAAAAUGAAAUAACAACAUGAAGAUGAUGAUCCCCACCAAAAAGAGAUAAUAGUACCAAGUUGGCAAUGGCAACAAAAGCUCAUUUGUUUAAUAUAUGUAUGGGGGUGGAAGAAGAAGAGCGUCUACCUCUAUCCGAAUUCCACACACGCAAAGGGCCCAACAUCUCCGCACUUUUUCACCCUUUUUCUAUCUAUGAGUUUUUAAGACGACCAUCUCUUUGCGGAGCUCAGAAUCCCUAAAAUAAGUCUCUCCCACUCAUAUUCCCUAAUCUCUUUCUCUUGCUCUGCUUUCCUUUCCUGGUAAGAUUAUUCCCGAUCCUUUUAUUGCCCUCAAUUCACGCUUUCACUCCUGUUCCUCCAUCUCCGAAACUAGCUCUCUUUUCACUCCCCAAAUCUCUCUUUCUUCCCUGAAAGAUACAGUUUUUGACUUCCAAUUUGAUCCAUCGUACUUUUAGAUCCCUUUAUCAAUCUGUCAUCUUUGAGUUCUGUUACUUGAGCUACUUGGGUCUCAGUAAUUUUGAGUAUUUGCAAUUGGGUAUGAUGAUGUUGGUGGAAUAGAAGAGGGUUUUUUUUGUCUGUAGUUGGAAAGAUGAAGAGAGGAGGUAGAGAUGAUGAGAAGGUUAUGGGGCCAAUGUUCCCAAGGCUCCAUGUGAAUGAUCCAGAUAAAGGAGGGCCAAGAGCUCCUCCAAGGAACAAGAUGGCUCUAUACGAACAGCUGAGCAUACCCUCUCAGAGGUCCAACCAUGGCGCUAUGCCGCUCCAUCAGAACAGCAAUAGCAGUAUGGGAUCGCCGGCUCUCUCAAAUCAGGUAAUUUUUUGAGUCGGUGGUUGUGCUUUGUUAGUUAUGAACUCGAGGUUGUUGAGUAGGAUUAUUUUUUCUUGUGGAUAUAUGUUUUUACAGUAGUCAACUAUAUACUUUGAUUUAUCCUGUAUCGAGUGGCUUCGGUUAUAGCUAUGCUUGUUUGUUGUCAUUUAAUACCAAUAUAGUGGAAAUUGGCAACCUGUCUGCAGUUAAUAGAAUGGUUUAUUCUUGAAUGUGAUGUCAAGUUUGUGUAUUAGCUGGAGAAGGUGAUCAUGGCAUAUCUGAUUUGGUAGAUUUCAUGGUUUCAGGGGAAUGGUCCUGAAAGAAAUUUGCCUUUUCCUGUUCAUGCUCGUCCGGCUGCACCUACUCAUCACUCUGGCCAGUCUGAUGGGGUAAAUGUGAACACUGCUUCGGUACAACCCCAGCAAAGAAAGAGGGGAGGAAAUGAAGAUGAUUUUAUGGUUCCUGUAUUUCAAUCAAGGAUGGGUCAAUGUCAAAGUAGAACUCAAAAUGGUGGUGGUAAGGCAAAACUUACUCCCUUCAACCAGUCUCAUCCUGACCAUGGAAUAAUUUUCAAAAGUGCUACCAAGAAGGAUCAAAGACAAAGUAGCUCCCCCAGUCUCAAUUUAAGACGAGAAUCUAGACGUGAGACUGAAGAGGAUCGCAAUGCAUCUAGCCCAGCUAGGGACCAUUCAGUAAAAGCUGCCACAAGUAUCUCAACUAGAGAAAGGGUUGAUAUUCCUAUGAAUGCGAAUACUUCUCGAAAUCAAGAGUAUGAAGACCAUCCUGUUCCUACUUUCAACAGGUCUUGUGAUAGUGAUGCUUGCUUACAACAAGACUCCAGAUCUGGGACUCAACUAAACGACACUAGACAAGGCGAUGGUCUCCUUGAGUCCACAAGGGAUGUCGAGAAGGGAACUGUUUCACAGGCAAGAAGUAUUUCUCGUUUUGGGGAAAAUCCUAGCAGUCCCAAUGAGCCUGAUAAUGACAGUGAAUACAGAAUGUGGUCACCACAAAGGGGAAAUGCAGACAAAGGAGAUGAUGUCUCCGAGACCUCCAUGGUGGAUUCUGUAUCUGGCAUGGACAUCUCUCCUGAUGAUGUAGUAGGAAUAAUAGGUCCGAAACAUUUCUGGAAGGCAAGAAAGGCAAUUGUCAAGUAAGUCUUUAUUUUCUUAAUUAUCUGCUCCAUUUGGUUGCCCCUUUCCGAUUUGGUGAAGCAUGUAAGGUUACUCUUCAUGUUAAUUUUUUGUGUAUUAGUUUCUAAGGCGAUAUGUUUUUGACUUGAAAAACAAAAAGCGUGUAGUCCCGGGAUCCCUUCUGUACUGGAAUUUUUAUUUUUUCACAAGCCCUUGAUAACAUUUUAAUGGUGGAUAUGGGUCAUCUUAUAGCAGGGAAAUUUACGUCUUUUUAGUAUACCUUGUGCACGGCGACCUCCGAGACAGCGUAUCAUCUCAUUAUUCAUUGCCCUUUUGUAUCUACCUUUCUGGUGUUCCUGUCUCGGUUGGGUAAUGCUUGGGGUUUCCCCUAACCACUGGGAUUCCUUUCAUGGCACUUGAGGGCUCUGGGAACAGGUGAUGAAGGAUUAUCCUUGGGACUACAUUGGGUGGAUCUUGGAGAAUAGUUCACAAUGUGGAAUUGGUGGUGGACAUGGUGGUGAGGAGGAUUACUUCUCAUCUAUAGUAUUUUGCUUUCCUAUGCUGGAAAAUUUUGCUGGGUUGGGAUUUUGUUGUCUUUUCAUUUGCUUUAUAGAAUAUGACAAUCCCCCCUUAUGUAUAGCUUGUAAUCAUUACAUUUUCAUUUUAUUUUCUUUUCAUUAUCAAAUCUUUUGGUGUUUUGCCUAUGCCAUAACCAAAGAAUUGUGUAGUGAUUGCAAUCUAUACAUAUGGGGAAAUGAAGACUAGCUGUGUAAUGAUUUCCACUAUGUAUACUUUCAAUGUUUGGUUUUGCACUAUUUUUCUUUCAUGUUUCAUUUUGCUUGUAAUAUCUGUGUUUCUCAAGCCUUCUAUUGGUCGGUAUUUUGAAUUUUGUUUUUUGACUCAACUCUUGUUACUUUCUACAGUCAGCAAAGAUUGUUUGCGGUGCAAGUAUUUGAGUUGCAUAGACUCAUAAAGGUAAAAAUCUUUCGUCUUCUUUGAUGCUACUGGGUUCUUUAAGAAAUCAGCCAUAUUUUUAUUAAAAAAUGAAGCUUAGCUUUCUUUUGGUGGAUCUCACAGGUUCAACGACUGAUUGCUGGAUCUCCACAUAUUUUGCUUGAAGAUAGUGCUUUCCUAGGCACAUCCUUAAGGCGUUCUCCUGCAAAGAAACUCCCGGCAGAUUAUGUUGUAAAGCCACUACUACUAAAGCGCAAGCAUGAGUCUGAGAAGUCGAAUAACAAAAUGGAGUGUUCUGCUGAAAAUGCAGUUGAAAAAGCUCCUCUGUCUUCUGUGAAAAAUUGUAGCCAGCCUUCACAUCACGUACCAUAUGUAGGGAAUCCGCCUGCUCCAGCACCUUUGCCUGCUGACAAUAAAGCAGCUCCUUGGUGCUUCCAUCAACCACCUGGUCAUCAGUAUUUAAUUCCUGUAAUGUCUCCUUCUGAAGGACUCGUGUACAAGCCAUAUAAUGGACCUGGGUUUGUCGGAGCAGUUUGUGGAGGAUGUGGACCUUUUGGCUCAAGUCCCAUGACAGGUAACUUCAUUAAACCAGCAUAUGGGGUUCCAGGACCUCAUCAUCAAGGAAUGGGGGUUCUCCCUGCCCCUCAUCCUACCUACUUUCCUCCGUACGGCAUGUCUGUCAUGAAUCCCACAAUGUCAAGCUCAGCUGUUGAACAAAUGAAUUGGUUUGCUGGACCUGGUUUGCAUGGUUCAACCGAUCAGUUAUCAGGAAACUCUAAUUUGCAGCAUCAAAGCUCGUGUAAUAUGCCAACACCCAAAAAUGCCGCUAUUCCUCGUGCCAUGAAGUCUCGAGCAUCAAACCCUAGUGAGUUACAAGGAAGUACUGCUAAUAGUCCUGGUGACAGAGCACCAGUUGUUACGGAUCAAACUGCUGGUGAAAGUGAUGCACUUCAACUUUUCCCAACGGUUCCAGCAGUUCCAGAGCGAGUUCCCCAACCUCAUGUAACAAACCAGGCAACACGAGUGAUAAGAGUUGUCCCGCACAAUCCUAGAUCUGCUACUGCAUCAGCUGCUCGAAUUUUCCAAUCUAUACAAGAAGAGAGAAAACAGUAUGACUAAGUCUAUAGCUCGUAUUGUCUCUAGUAAAUGACGUUGGCUUCAGUUAUCGAAGUUGGUGUGGGCUUCAUCAUUUGCUCUAUACCCUUUUGCGGGGUAUGAUAUCGGUGACUGUUUUGUUCUUUCAUAUUUUUUGAUCUUGUGAUAUUGUAUUUGUAUGUGUAGAUAAAUCUCUGGAUAGGCACACAACCAGACCAGUGUAAUCUAAAUGUAUAUGGAUAUUACUUCCACAUCUUCUGAGUUAUCUGGCAUAGACUCGCUUUUGAAUCUCAGCGUUGUUUAACUAGAGGAUAUCAUAUCAAUGGAACACAGUUGACAAGAAUUGCAUUGAACAAUGUUUUCAGAAGCAUGGCAAGAAAUUAGAGCAUCCAUCUUUCAGGGGCAAUACAUAAAAUAACGACCAGGUCCUCCAAAGUAAAAUGUAGGUUCUUGAGCAAGUGACUGAGCAUAGUUCUGUGCAGAGUAGCAGUAUGCUUCAUCUACAAAAGUGCCUACCCAUUCUGGGUACUUCAGUUGCAUUGAAUAAUCUACAAUUCUCACUUGUUUCACGUAACAAGCAUAUCCAUCUAAGCCUGAAGCAAAAUUCCCACUUCCCAUUGCAGUUGCAGUGUGUGGACGAGUCUUCUUCACCUUGGAGCUAUACACCUCCCCACCCCAUUCAACCAAUGUUGCAGGACCUUGUUUCAUAUAGGAGAAGAGACUUGGCGGCCAGUAUCCUACCGGGACGUUUUGACCCAAACGUAGCCACCAAUUGCCUGUGUUUGGAUCCUUCAAUAAUCAACAUUGAAAUGGAAUGGUCACAUUAGUCGGGUAUCCCAAUGUGAAAAGAAAGCAUAUAUAUACCAAAGAAAAGGGUGCAAACCUUGUUGAUGCUGAAAGUGGUUUGAUAUUGGGGUCCUCCUUCACUUGAUACGGGUCCUAGGGGCAUACCAAGGGCUAUGUCUGUGUUAGUUUGCACAAACCCUGAGCAAGUUAGAUCAAAGCAUCCUGUUGAUUUGUAUGAGUCCACCUGACAUUAGCAACAGAUUGGUGAGACAAGGACAUUUCUUAUUGUAACGCAAGACUUGACAUUCUCAAUGUUGGGAUGUACUCAUGUAGUACUUACUGUCCAAUAUACGAAAAGUCGAGUAGCUGAAUCACCAUACAACUUUGGGUUUACCAUCCAGCCUGACUCGACACUUUCAAAGGCAUUUCCAGGUCCAUUCUUAAGCCAGAUUUGAGCAGUAGUGUACUCAUCCGGUGACUCGACUUUUGGAUUCCAAAUAUUUAUAUCUCCCUGAGCUCCUAUGUAACUGUAUCCAGUAGUCACAAGAAUCGCAGCCUGCAGGUGUUCAUAUAGCAAUAACAAACAUAAUUUCACAAGUCCUUCAAGAAGUAGUAUCAAUUUUAACAUUGACAUUAGUGACACUCACAGAACGAUUGAUUUGAGGACCAAGAUCCACUCUGGUUUUGUUAAUGUACACGGUCCCUAUAUCAUCAUUGGUUGAGUAGGAAUUUGGUGCUGGGUUUUUCAUCCCAAAGCGUUCAAGUGAAGCAGCGCUUAGCAAGUCCCGCCUUCGGAUUCUUCUAAUGGGAAUGGUUCCAUCUGGACAGCUUCCACUCCUUUGCCAAUAUUGAGAGAUAAGCUGAGAUGAAUAAUGAUCAUUUUGUACCGGACUCCUGCUCGGACCGGGAGUAGGACUAGGACUAGGAGCCUGUGAUGCAAAUUGAAAACUAGGUCUCAUCUGCAUUGUAAGGACAUCUAUUAGUACAUCAAAAAUUGGAAAACAAAUCAAAAAUAGUUUUCUGCAAAUAACGAAUUGAAAUGAAAAAUAUGGUAAAUGAUUGAAGUCUAAAAACAGACCUGAAUUUUGUGGUUUUGCAAUGCUGGAUGAUCAAAAGCAGGCUGUUUGUAGAUGUCAACACAGUCCACAAUGUCUCCAUCCUCACUCUACAAGAAGAUGAACCCCAAAGCUUAAACCAUCAGAAAUAAGUCGAUAAUGUAAAUCAAAUCAAGCCUUUGUGAGAUAACAGAAUGCUACAGAAAAGUCGUGGACCUUAAUACUCUUCACUCCACGCCUAUUGAGAAGCUUCAACUUGUUACCAAUUUCCAAAAAAUGUUUCUUAGCUUUAGCAUUCACAUCUACAUCUACUGCUUCACUACCACUAAUAACAAUCAAACCCAGCAUUGCUAGCAAAAGCAUUAUAGACCUCCUUCCCAUCUUCUGUGAUAUCAUUCUUCCUUCGAGAACCAGAGAAGUAGAAACAAGAUCGAUGAGGGUAAGAAGUUGAUGACAAUUAUUUUGUCAGUUAUAUGAUGUAUCUGAAUCUUUGACCAUCCACAUGUCAAAUUCCCAAUACAUGCAUUUCAAACAGUUCAUGUAUAAUAUUAAUUUGGUCAUUAUGGAAAUAUAUUUUGUCAGAAUAAUUUCAUAAUAUUUCAAAAAAAGAAGAAGAUUUCAUACAAUUCACUUCGAUGCUAACUAUGUAUGGUCUCCAAUUGCUUCUUGUAGGCUUCUCCUAUCAUUUAUUGCAAAUUAUGGCGUUAGAUUCUUCACACACUAAUUGCAAAGUAUGGAAAAAGGAUAACUCUCACUCAGUAAUCCCAUAACCAAAAAUUGUAGUUGAAAAUUUGAAACAUUGUUACACAUAGUUGUAGUGGUGCCAUUCCUAGUAACAAGCUAGCUUUAGUAGUGAUUAAGGGCACUUGGGAUUAUGUCCAGGCCCUCCAUAAUAGAACUCAGGAUCUUCAAGAUAGUCAGAAACAUAAUCAACGUCAUAACAAUUGAACUCGUCCGUAUAAGUUUCAACCCAUUCCGGGAAUUUGAGUUCAGCUGAAUUGUCAUGAAUUCUGAUUCGUUUUAUGAGCCCUGAAUCCCCAAAGAAAUCAGGAAACUGUCCGCUCCCCAUUCCUGUUUUUGUGUGUGGAUUAGUACCCACUCUUGCACUAUACACUUCACCUCCCCACUCCACCGCUUCUGCGUGGACUCGCAACGCCACAAACAGCUCCGGCGGCCAGUAUCCGAUGUUGAUUUUCUCCCCGUAUUGCACCCACCAGUUGCUUGUUACGGGGUCCUAAGAAAAUCCAAACGAAAACUAAAAAAUGUUACCUUGAUAUACAUUGCUAACAUAUGUAACACUUCCAAUGUUCGUGCGUCCCAUAUCACAUGCUAUGUUAUGUACAUGCACAUGUUUUUCGAACCUUGAAGAUGUAGACAAUGAUUUCGUAUGGAAGGCCAUCACGGACAGAGAUUGGGUAAAUUGCAGCACCGAGAGCAAUCUCAUGGCUAAUUUGAACAAAUCCAGGACAAGUGAGAUCAAAGCAACCUGUUUUCUGCGAACCAUCGACCUGUUUGCAUGAACAUGUCAGAUAAUUACUAUAAUUAGCACUGAAAAAUUAACCAAGUCUGGGAGUCAUGAAUGGUUCAAGUCGAUCAACUCUUACUGUCCAAUAGACCAUAAAUCGAGUUUGUCUAUCUCCAUAUACAGUAGGAUUCACCUGAAGUAGAACAUUUGAAAUUUGCAUAAGAGAAAUUAAAAUGCUAGCUAGCUUAACUAAGAUUAUGAAUGGUGAAAUGUUGUGAUAUAUAUGUACCGCCCAUCCAGAUUCAACACUCUCAAAUGCCCAAUAAGGACCAUUGAUGAGGCAAACAUGAGAAGUAGAGUAGUCAUCGUCAAAAUCAACGUUAGGAGUCCAAACUUUGAUAUCUCCUUUGGCUCCAUUAUAUCUGUACCCUUCUGUAAGCAGUAUCGCCUUCUGUAAUAUAAUCAGUGUCAUUCAUCACAUUAUACAACACCAGCUCACUAAAUAAUUAGAAACACUUGAAUUUGGAUUAUGAGAAUAAUUACGUACCGAGUGAUUUGCUUGUUGAAGGUACACAGUUCUGUUGCUGUCACUAGUACUAGACUCGUCAUGCAAAACACGAGGACGAGAAGAGGUAUGCGUCUUCCUUCCGUAGGCCUCAACCGAGCUAGCUCGGAGCAGGUCCUCUUUUCUGAUUCUUCGCACCGGGAUUGUUCCUUCCGGACAGCUUCCAUUCUUCUUCCAUGGUUGUGUCACCAUCAUGGAAGAGUUCCUCUUCCUCUCUAGUCUUUCGAACUUGGUCGUUGUCGAUUCUGUCUCCUUUGUCGGAUCAUAACUAGGUGCCAUCUGCAAAGUCACACACACACUCAUAGCGAUCAUACACACUUAUGUUGACGUAGGAAACUUUCAUAAGUACAUAACAUGUCAAAUGUGUUGAGGGAAGGGUUACCUGGAUAAUAUGGUUUUUGAGAGCAGGAUGAUCCAACGCUGGCUGCUUGUAAACGUCAAUGCAAUCGAUGAUAUCACCAUCUUCACUCUACAAAUCAAACCAGAGUAGUUGAUUAGUGACAAGCAGUAGCACUGAGAAAAAUAUGCAGAUUGAGUUUGGGAUAACAUGAUUAUGUAAGUACCUGAAUGCUUUUAACUGCAGGUUUUCUAAGUUGGCUUAAUUUUCUGUCAACUUCCAAAACCUUGUGUUUAGAGAACAUGUUACCCUCCACAAGAACCCCAAAAUAUCCAAUUAGAGCAACUCCCAGAACAAUUACCAUUCCCCUCAAUCUAAUCAGGCCACCCCAACUCAACUGUCUCCCCAUUUAAUCUGCUGUUAAAAACCAAGAAUGAAGAAAUGAAAAUUUGAUCUGAUAUAUAUAUAAACUAACUCUGCAUAUUUAUAUAUGUUUCUGCUUACAUAACUUUGAAGACAUUCAAAUUAUUUCAGCCAACUACGUAUGUCUGCAAAUUCGCAUGAUUAACCUUCCAAUCAUUCCAAUUUGAAUUGCAGGAAGUUCGUAAUCCGACUGUUUCAUGUGGUCUAAGACUGAUAUGAAACGACGUCGUCUUCCGGACCAGAAAAGGAAAUAAAUCAAGGACCUGGGCCAGCCCAUCAGAAUUCUAAAAGCCCAAAAGUGUUGAAGUCCCAAGUAUAACAGCUGCUUUACUGAGAGGGCCACAGUAGAAGCUUUGACCUAAGAUCGGAAAAAAUGGUGCUCCUGGCGCUACAGAUAACGGCGGAGCUCGAAAACCUGACUGACCUUCAGCCCGAAAACGGCUGCGACGAUCCCGACUUCACCUAUCUCUUCAAGGUAUUAUCAUCCUCUUGCUUUUUUACCUCAACUUUUUACUGUCUACUGAUUCAUGUAACAUUGGGAUUUUGUAGUUGCGAUGCCAGAGCUGUGGUGAGUUGACUCAGAAGGAAACUGCUUUGAGCUUGAGCGAGUCCGUUCCUCUUCCGGUGGGCAAGGGCAACACUAAUCUCAUUCAGAAGGUAAAACCCUCCCCUGAUCGAAUUGGAUGAGAUAAUCGAAUGGAAAUGAAACCCCAACAGUUAUAUCUUCUUCUUUUUUAAAUUGUUUCGUGAUAUAUUGUGCAUAUAUCAGUUUCGGUAAGCUAUAAUGUCACUAGUGAAUAUAAUGGUUUUGUCAAUGUGGUGAUUUGCAUUUUGUUUUCGCUUGCAGUGCAAGUUUUGUGGCAGGGAAGGAACCAUAACGAUGGUGCCUGGUCGUGGUCGACCAUUAACUCAGGAGUUAAGUGAAGCAGGGAAGUCUACCCCCGUGAUGGCGUUCGAAUGCAGGGGUUAUGAGCCGGUGGAUUACGUUUUUGGUGGCGGGUGGAAGGCUCGAUCAGUAUGUUUCUAUUUCUUAACAAUGCACUUUCUAUUAUGCCUGAGUAUAGCUGGUGGAAUGUUUGAACAUUUCAUCUUACUUUUACAUGGUGAAUGCCUGUUGAGCUGAAUCAGCUUUUACUACAAUGAAUUCCAGCGUGCAUUAGAUUAUGUUAUGCAUUCUUCUCCUCUUUUUAUCUAUCCUUUUUCCUUAUUGGAUUUCUACUUCUUUCCCACACUCAGAUUUCUUGCAGUUUUGGUAUUUUUUUUAUAUAUAUUAGUAAAGCUCUCUUUUUAUUUGAAUUCUUUUUCAAAUCAAAGAACUAUUGCCUGAACUAUUUAUUAUCUUUGGAUAUUGUCAUGGAGUGUGUAGAAACAUAAUAUGUAGCACCCUUGGUGAGGAACUUCAAAAAGAUGUGUCAUGUUGUUCAUAAUAAUGCCCUGUACAUUUAAAGGACAAAGGGGUUUCCUAAGCUUCACGUGUAUGAGAAUGGGUCUUUGUAAUAUUAUACCCUUCAGGUUAAUUCAUAUUAUUUGAGUAGUGUAGCAUAUUCAAGAAGAUUUGGGAAUUCCAGAAAGUACUCAAAGUAGUGAUGUUUCUUUUCCCUGUUCCCUGAUGUUGGAACAUCUCUCAUCUUGGGUAAAUCUAGUAACAAAUACAUCCCAUAUUGACAGGACUUAAAAAGGUGCUGCUAAUUGUGAUAAAUAUUCUUUUCACUAGGAAGCUUGUGAGAUCGUAAUCUAAGCUCCUGCUUCUGAUAUCCACCCCUUCCUUAACCUAGUAGGAGAGUGGAUUAUGAUUUUGGGUUGAGAAUCAAAGUUACAAUGAAGAAAAGGAAACAAAAGACUAGACCCCAGUCUGGUGAAUUGUGUUUUUAGAAUCAUCUUUUUAUUGAGUUUUUGAAGAUGGGGAGAUUGUUUCAUUAGAAAGUUCAGCUUCAGAUGUUUUACUUAUUUGUCUCCUGUUACCAACUGUGGCAGAUACAUAUCUUUUUGUUGACUUAAACUUCCAUUUGGUUGUGUAGUUGGCUGGGACAACCUUUGACAAUGUUGACCUGUCAGAGGAUGAAUUUGCUGAAUAUGAUGAGAAAGGAGAGUGCCCAGUUAUGAUCUCCAAGCACUCUUCUUCUUUUGUUGUGCUAAAAAACUAGAGUGGUUAUAGAGACGUUUGGUACAUGGGGCUUGCUGAUGUCUUGUGAAUAAGAUAGAAUCAUACAAACCCUGGGACUUGCACGUAUUCAUGGAUGUUUAGAUAUCACAUGUUGAAAAUUGUUCUAUGGACAUGUCUCUUUGCUGAACGAUUUGCUGAACUAGCCUGAGAACAUGUUGUGUAUUAUCUGCUAACUGCAUAAUCCAUGGAACUGGAAUUUGGAUACUGUGGUUUGCACUUCCAUAAUCUCAAUUGUUUUGCGAAGAAUUUAAGUUUGACUGAUGUUUCUUAUUUCUUUGCUUCCAUAAUUGCUAGACUUAUUUGGUUUGAUGAAGUGAGAUCCUACCAAAGACUUGACACUGUUAUAAGAGCAAUGAAGUAUGCUUGAGGUUGAAGACAGUUUUGAUACUUGUGCUUAAUUGGCGCUCUUAGCAAUGCCAAUACAAGAUUUGCUUGAUGAUUAUUGUUGUUGUGAUAACUGAUAUCACCCAAUUUCAUUUCGACAUAGAGACUUACCUUUUCUGAUAUUAUCCGUUUUACCUCUAGUUUUCCUCACCCCUUUUCCUCUUAUCAGAAGAAAAAUUUCAGAGCAGAACCAAGAGUACACCAGAACCAAUACUGACCAGUAUGGAGUAGGAAUGCAGUUUGAAUCGGAAACCCAAUAAGAAUAGGAGAAUUUAUUAGACUACCGUUCCACAAUUGGAAUAGACAAACUAAAUAUAAGGGUUCCACCCUGCACUAGCUACCAACUUUUCCAUGCCAAAAAUCUUCAAAACCAAUUUUGAAUUCUCAGCAGUAUCAGCCCUGGAUUACCACAACAAAUCCUUCAUUCAACAUGAGCAUGAUCAGAGGCAGCGGUGCUGCUUCCCGGCCUUCAAGCUGUGCAGGGAGAAUGAUUUCUUGGUCUUUAGGUUACAAGGGGAAACCCGGAAAGAAAGUCACUCACCGGAAUAAAAGAGUUGAUCCUGUAGCUGUCAUCGACGAGGUCGCCAUUGACAAGCUUCAUGACCUACUCGAGGACACGAAAACACCCAAGUUCUUAAAGCGUCAUGUCAUAGGACCUGAGGUGAACAAAAGACUACUCGAGGACGGCGCUAUUCCUUCGAUUCCUUCGACCACUGCACCCGCCAAAUUGUCUCCUUCCAUGUUAGACCAGUUGUAUGACAAGAGGGGAAAGGAGCGAGAGAAGGCACUAGCCACCACAAUUACUGUACUGAACAAAAAAAAUUUAGAUCACGAUGACCUGAAUAGGAGGUUUGUUGUUACUCUUCUUUACAGAUGCUUACAUGGUGUGAAGAAGGGUUCUGCCACAGAGAUGCAAUAUGCUUUGAAAGUCAUCAGCUUGCUCUCAAUCGUGGUUGAUUGUCAGGAGAAGAUGUCCGAAAUCUACACAGAAUUCUUAUCUGUAGUUUCCACCAAAUAUUGUCUGAAGAAAGCUGGACCUAACACAACAAAUAUGCUCGACUGUUUGGGUCUUGUGACUUUCUUUGGUGCCAUUAACUCAGAGGAGACUCAAGCUGCUAUGGAGGUUAUCUGGGACUUAUAUACCCUAAAUCUAAUUCGGGAUAUGAUCUCAACAGAAAGAAGCAUUCAGCUGAGGUUCUGUCUGCUGCCAUACGUUCUUGGUCGUUCCUUCUCACGACCAUGGAAGGAUGGAGACUUCACCAAACCU